GAUUUCCUAAUUUAUUCCUUUCUCUAUCUGUUGUUGAAGCAAACUCACUGUUCCUCCACCUUCCAUUUCCGAUCAUUCUGUCUCAGAAAUUUCCAGCCGGUGUGUCUCUUUUGUCGAUCACUUCUUGAUGCUAUCCGGUAAGUCUGCUUCCUUUCUCUCUCGUUGUUUACUCCUUUCUUCCUCUCUUGAUUUUUGAAGGUUGUGUAUAGGUCGGGAUUCAUCCCCAAAUGUAAACAUGAGAGUUCUCUGAGCUUGGAUUGUCCCUUAAUCAGUCCUGUUGUGCGUUCCUCUUCUUGCAAGCUAAUCUCCUUUUCCUUUGUGCUUUUUCUCAGAUGUAGAUGUGGUGUCUCGGUCCCUCCGAUUCUAAAGCUCCAACGGUAACAACCAAACCAUUUACUUGUUCGUCUGUAUGAUGUAACUUUUUGAUAUCUAUGGCAAUACUCUUUAGCUCGUUGUACUGCGUUUAUGUUUUCUUCUUUACCUCUCCUGGUAGCAAUGUGGCAGAUUCUUGUAUUUUGAUGUAGGUAUGCUCUGUAACGAUCUGCAGUAGUCAUGUGCAUUAUUUACUAUCUACAAAUGCUUUUGUUAUUCUCAGUGCUGAAUAUUGAUUUUCCUGGUUCUGAUCCUCAAAGUUGGUAUUUGUGCUUUGUCUAUAUUGAUCUGUCUCCUGAUGUUGGUAGGUAGCUCCUCAAAAUUGUUGUACUCUUUUCUUUGUUGUGAUUCAACUACCAGAUUAGCUAAUAGGUCUGCCACAUUAUUGCCUUCUCUGAAAAUAUGGAUGAUGUUUGCAUUUAAUUGUUGUAAUCUCUUCCUUAUAAUCUCUCCUCUUUCCGCCAAAUCCCAGGGUAUCUUCCAAAGCCCUCUUAUCAUCUGCAUCAGACACAAUGAGUCGGUUUCGAUUAUUACUUCUCGCAGCCUGUUCUCCCAACAAUACUCCAAUGCUUCAUGUAUUGCCACUGCCUCUGCCUCUGUGUUAGUAGUAGUACCCACUCCUGCUGCUCUUGCAUAUAUCAAAUUUCCAUGUGAAUUCCUCAGACAAAAGCCAUAAGAACUGAGUCCCGGAUUCCCUUUGGAUGCCCCAUCCGUAUUGCAUUUCAGCCUGUGUGUAUCUGGUGGUUUCCAUAGUACACUAUGAUAGUGUAAUUUAGGAGUGUACCACUUUAGUUUCAUGACAAUAUCAGGCCACAAAUUGGACUCUAGAUGUAUCCAGGGAUAUAAAGUUUUCACAAGGUUUCUGACCAUAUCUUGAACUUGCACCACCAUUCCACUCAAUGUUGUAUUUCCUCCAUGUUUUAUAUUAUUUCUUCUCUUCCAUAUUGUCCACGUGAUUAUUGCUGGCAUUGCUCUCAUUACUCUUUGUAGUUGUGGUGAUGUGUUGAAUUUCCACCACUCAAUGAUUAAUUGUUGUAAAUGCAUCCCCUCCAUGCGUACACCUGCAAAAUUAGCAAAUUGCCUCCAUAACUUGUUAGCCAAGGAAGCUGUUAGAAAAUUAUGGGACAUUGUUUCCUCCUUUUUUUCAUCACAACACCAACAUCUUGAAACUACUUGAAUCUUCAUCUUUUUUAAAUUAUCAUCAGUAGGAAUUCUCCUUUUCCAAACCCUCCAUAAGAAGAAAUUCACCUUAAAAGGAACCCCCCUGGUCCAAAUAAAAGCAUAGUCAGUUCUCCUCUCCUGUUUCUUCCUCAUUGUUUGCCAAGCUGAUUUAACAGUGAAAUUCCCCUGCUUACUGCUCAUCCACCAAGGGACAUCAGUCUGAUACUCAUUACUAGGUGGUUUUAUACUCUCCAGAAUGUACUCCACCAAUUCUGCUGAAAGUUUUGUUGCUAGUUUAUGUGCAUCCCAUUCACCAAAAAUUGUAAACUCCUGUACUUCAACUUCUUCCUCACUAUCCAUAUCACUCUCAAUAUAGAAAAGAGCUCCCAAUUUUGUCCAGUUAUCAAACCAAAAACUGGAAGUUCCAGCCUUUAUUUGCCACCAUAUAUUGUGCUCAACCUCCUCUCUUAUCAUUACCAUUUUUCUCCACACAUGUGAGGCACCCCUACCUGUAGUUAUAAUUGGGUGCAAUUUCUUGCAAUAUUUGUUCCACAUAUAACCACUCCACAAAGAAGAACUUGAAGUUCUGAAUUUCCACCAAAGCUUUGCAAACAAAGCCUUUGAUACAUCAUGUAAAGACCUGAAACCCAACCCCCCUUCUUCCUUGGGAUAGCACAUGCUUUCCCAUGACACCCAGUGCUUGUUCUUUGAACCAGUUGCAUUUCCCCAGAAAAACUUUGCAAACAACUUAUGUAAUUGGUAUAGAACACUGACUGGUGGAUUCAUGGUUGAUAAUAAGUACAUGGGCAUUGAUUGUAAAACAUGUGAUAUCAAAAUGUACCUUCCCCCAUAAGAUAAGAGUCUAUUCUGCCACAUGGCCAUUCUCUUAACCACCUUUUUAAUAAGGAGUUCAAAAUGCCUUUUAUUUUGCCUGCCAUAGAAAAUAGGACAGCCCAGAUAGGUAAAAGGAAAAUUACCUUGCCUGACUCCUGUUAUCCUCUUUAUUUGAUUACACACUGUUAUGGGGACCUUUUCAUGUAGGUAACAAAUGCUCUUGUCUAUGUUGAUCAUUUGUCCAGACACCCUCUCAUAUCUUCUUAACACAGACAUCAUCAUCCUCAUUGAUUUAGGGUGUCCUGAACAAAAAAGGAUAGUGUCAUCAGCAUAAGAUAGGUGGUUUAUUUGCGGACUCCAUUUAGGCAAACCAAAACCCUUAAAUUCAGCAUUUUCACAUAAACCAUUUAGGGCCCUGCUCAGAACUUCAGCUGCUAUUAUAAACAAAGUUGGGGAUAAGGGGUCACCCUGUUUCAAACCUCCUGAAGACGGGAAGAAACCAAAUGGUUUCCCAUUUAUCAACAUUGAAUACCAAUUAUUACAUAUAAGCCGCACUAUCAUGUCAAUGAUUCUCUCAGAAAAGCCAAAUCUUCUCAAGACUUGAAUUAAGAAUUUCCAUGAGACUCUAUCAUAUGCCUUUGUCAUGUCCAAUUUUACCACUACAUUAUGCAAUUUGUUCCUCUUGUUGAUGUCCCUUAUUAUUUCCUGAGCCAAAAGCACAUUUUCAGUUAUACUUCUUCCUUUAACAAAACCUGAUUGGUUAUUUGAAAUCAAUCUCGGCAGCACCACUGAAACUCUGUCAUGUAUUAGCCUUGAUAUAAUCUUGUUAGCAAACAUACUCAAACUAAUAGGUCUUAAGUCCCCAAAAUUAUCCACCACUUCCUUCUUUGGUAUCAUCACUAGAUUUGUGUGUGUUAUGAAUCUUGGCAACUCAUAUCCACUGAAAAAAGCCCUUACUAUGUUCCAUACAUCAUCACCAAUGAUUUCCCAGCAACUUUGAAAAAAUUGCCCUGAGAAGCCAUCCUGUCCACUGGCACUAUCCCCAUUUAGUUUAAAAACCACAUUCUUCACCUCAUCUUUAUUAGGAGCCCUCUCCAUUUCAUAAUUCUGGUUGUCAGUUAUGAUCUUGGGAAUACAUUGAAGCAUUGAAAAAUCAGUUGUUUUUUGUGUUUCUGUGAAUUGCUCCCCGAAGACAUUAACUGCUUCUUCCCCUAUGUUUUGUGAUGAAGUAAUGAUGUCCCCCUGUCUUGUUCUGAUUUCUUUAAUAUUCAGUUUCUUCCUUCUUCCAUUAACAUAGGCAUGGAAGAACUUUGUAUUUUUGUCCCCAUCUUUAAACCACCUCAUCCCAGCUUUCUGCUUCCAGAAUUCUUCCUCAAUUUUCAUAAACCUCUUCAGAUCAGCAUUGGAUUUACUGAGUUCUGCCCUGUUUGCCUCUGUAGGUGCUAUCUCCAUUUGUAUCUCUUUCUCUUUUAUCACAUCUUCCAAAGUUGCAAUCUUUUGAAAAAUAUUUCCAAAUGUAUUCUUACUCCACUGCGCCAGUACUGCCUUCAGUCUUUUCAUCUUUGUAUGAACAAUAGUGAAAGGAGAGCCAGUUACCUGCAUCCUCCAACUCUCCUCUACCACCUUUUGAAAGUCUGCAUGUUUGGUCCAAAAAUUUAGGAACUUGAAAGGCCUAAUGAUUUUCUCCUGACUUGAGUUAGACACGACAUGUAAGGGAGCAUGGUCUGAUCCUUGCCUUAUUAGAUGAUGUACCUCACUUUCUGGUAAAAGACUCAUAAAACUAUUAUUUCCAAAAACUCUAUCCAAUCUUUUAAAUAUGCAUGCUUCCUCAAUUCUCCCAUUCCACCAAGUAAAAAUACUGCCCGUAAACCUCAACUCAUUCAAAGUACAUGAAUUAAUGCAUUGAAUAAAAUCAUGUGUUUCUAAAUUUGAUACUGGUAAUCCACCCAGCUUCUCUGAAUCAUCCACAAUAGUAUUGAAAUCUCCCGCCACUAACCAAGGGAAACUUUGGCUUGUCAUACACUCCAGGUCCUCCCAAAGCUCCAAUCUUUCAAGGGCACUACAUCUAGCAUAGACUGCCGUUACAACAAAUCUAUCCUGUGUUCCACUUAUUUUGAAAUUCAUGGUAAGUUGUUGUGUAGUAUCUGAUGAACCUUCCUCUUCCCAGCUGUCAUCCCAGAAAAUCCAAAUUUUUGCUGAGCAGUUAGCCUUGGCAUUUUGUAGACCCAACUUUCUUCUGUACUGCUCUAAUUCUGAAGGGCUUUGAAAAGGUUCUAAUAAAGCGAUGUAUGAGUAAUGAUGUCUCUUGUGCAGUUCAAGUACUCUCUCAAAAGCAUUCUGAGAUUUCACUGAUCUGAUAUUCCAAAAUAACAUCUUGUCUAUCAUUGAUCAGAAAUGGAUGACGAACCCUUUAUACUCCUUGUAUUUAUUUGUGAUGUCUCGUUAAUUCUUGUAUCCCUUUUAUUUUUUAUUUUUAUUCUCUCAAUCUGUGUUGGUGAUAAAUCCCCGCUUCUACUGAUGUUAUCUAUGUUCGCCUCUAGACUCUCCUCCUCCUCAGUAUCCUGUUUUUGCUGCUUCUCGUCUUGCGAGAGAUUAUGUAUUUUAAUAGACAGAUCCCUCCCUAUCCUGUGUUCAGACCCUUCAUUCUCUAUAUUCCCCCCUUCUUCACCUUGACUGAUUUCCUGCUGCUGCGUUUUAGGUGUAUUAUUAGUGCUCCCCCUCUCCUCAUUUAUGUCACCUUCUUUAGUUAUUUGUACUGUCUCCUUUAUCCCUUCUGAUGCUUGCCUGUGAUCUUUGCAUUGAACUGAUACUCUUUCUUCUGUUUUCUCAAUUUGCACUUGCUUCUCUUUCUGAUUUGGUGUUGUCUCCUUACCCCGACUGCUAUUCUCACCCACACCUUCUUUGUAUAUCUUCUCCUCUCCCAUGUUAUCCCCAAAGAACCCCCCACCAGAUUGCAGAUGAGUUUCUGCCUCUUCCCCUGUUAACACUUCCCUUUCUUGCGUCUUUUGUGCCUUUAUUUCUAUCACCCCCCUUAGCUCCUCUACCUCAUUUUCAAUGUCCUCCCUCAGUGCCUCAUAUUUAUUAUUUGUUAUGAUAUUUUGUUCCUUGGCAGGAUAGUUUUUAGGAUUCCACACUUGUUCCCUUUUGUCUCCUCUAUUGAAUACUCUACCCCUGCCAUAACAAUUCUUUUUCCUUUGUUCAUUAAAUUCACCUCCCCCGCAUUUGUUUGAUUCUUCCUUACUUAUUUUUAUCUCCCCUGCUGUACCAUGUGUGUUCUCUGUCCCCUUUACCCCUCCAAAUAAUUCCUUACCUUUUUCUGUACCAUGAGCUAUUACCACCACUUCCUCAUCCUCCUUAGGAUACAAUUCUGGGUGAAUGACAAAACAUUCUCUUUCAAUAUGACCCUGCAACUUGCAUGUUUUGCAGUAUUUCGGUACAUAGUCAUAUUUGAUUGGAACCCACUUCUCUACAACUUCACCAGUUUUCUUCCUCAUCCCCACAUUGAUUCUUGUUGGAAAUUCUCCCAUAAGAUCUACUUCCACCUUCACUCUAGCACAACUUGGUCUAGUUUUAUUAAGAGUCGCCAUAUCCACCUGUAAAGGCUUUCCAACAGCUGCAGCUAAUGAGAAAAUCGCUUCCUUUCCAAAAAAAUUGGGAGGUAGUGAUGGGAAAGAUAUCCAAGCAAUCGCAAUAGAUGUUUCCUCCUCCGGAUCAAACAUGGGGUCCCACUUAAGGGUUCUCAUUGGGUAUGACCAUUGUUUAUGAGUAAUGUAAAAUUGUGGCUUUGAUAGCAGUGUUACAUAAUCCUCCAAUAAGGUGGUUCUGAUUAGGACAUAUCUACUGCUGAGCAAACCAAUGUUAACAUCUCCCUUCAAAUCGCAUUGCUUCGGUAUCAAAAGUCUUAGAUCCUGGAUCUCUGGCCACCCAUACGAGAAUUUACCUAUUACUGCAAAUUGGAGAUCUUCAUUAAUGAUCAUCUGUGCUACCUCUUCUUCCUCCCAUAUGAUCAUUGGUUCUCCAUGAAGAUAUGCAAUUUGUUUCAUCGGGACAGGUUUAUAUUGAGGACUUCUUGGUUUAAUAGUGUUGGCAUAAGUCAUUGUAGAAGGUUUACCAAUAUUGUUGAUGAUAUGCAGAGAUGAUGGUCCAUCCCCCAGAGGCGGAGGUUGGCCAACGGCCGCCGUGGCCAUUGAUUCCGACGAGAGUAAACAAAAUAGGUUUUAUAGAAAUUGCGAAAAAAAAAAAAUCACUGCCUGCAUAAAUGGUAAUCAAAUAACUUUUUACUUCUUCAAUACAGACUUUAGAGUCUAGGCAGCAGAGACGUUACAAUGGUGUACCUCAAUUUUAAACUUGGGUUUCUUGGAAUUUUUUUAUUAAAGGUGACAAAAAAAUGUUAAAACUAAGAAAAAGUGAUACAAGUUUUAUUUAUUGAUUAGAGGUGAUAAUUUUAAGAUUACUGUUAUUAAUAGCACUAAUUUUAAAACUCUCAAGUUUUAUUAUUUACACAAAAGCUUUAUUAGAACAAUGAAUUAAGGGUGAUAGAAAAGUUUUAAAAUUAGAUAUAGGUGACUAAAGUUUUAAUUAUUAUUGAGCAGGGGUGACAAUUUUUAAAUUAAGAAUUAAGGGAUGAAUUUCUGAUCCCCAAGUUUUUUAUUUUACACUUUGGCACAUCUUAUAUAAAACCCUAAUAAUAAGAAAUGGAAGGGAAAAAGGGCACCCACAGCUAGGGGUGUACAAGCCAAAUCAGAAAAUCAAACCGAACCAACGAAUCAAAUCAAAAAAAAAAAUAACGAUUUGUGGUUUGGUUAAGUUGGUUUGGCAGUUGAAAAAAAAAACCGACCACUCUUGAUUUGGUUUGGUAUUAAAAGAAAAAAAGUCAAACCGAGCUCAAACCAACCCGACAUAUAUAUAUAUAUAUAUAAUUUUAUUUUAUUUAUAGAUAAAAAAUUAUAAUUUAUAAUCUACUUUGUUAAUAUAUUUUUAGUUAGUUUAUAGUUUUUCAAUGUGUAUAUAUGUUAUUUCAAAUUUGGGCUUGUAAAAUUUUGUAAAUAUUAUAUAUAUAUAUAUAUACAUACAUACAUAUCUAUAAUUUUAUUUUAUUUAUAAAUAAAAAAUAUUAUUUAUAAUCUACUUUGUUAAUAUAUUUUUAGUUAGUUUAUAGUUGUUAAUGUUUAUAUAUUUUAUUUCAAAUUUGGGCUUGUAAAAUUUGUAAAUAUUUUAUUUUGUAUUAAGAUCCGAAAUUACAAUCAUAUUGUUAUAGUUUUGCAAAUUCGAAGUUAACAAUUUACUUUGUAAUAUUUUAUUUUGUAUUCAGUUUGCCUAUAGCCUUUAGUCUUAUUAAUCUAACAUAAUGAACGUUGAUAUUUCAAAAAAUAAAAGCAAAAGUCAUCGACCGCCCCUUAAAGUUGUUUGUAUAAUUCACUUAGACACCUCAACUAAGACUUGUACCUAUUGAAUACCUAAAUUGUUCAAAACAUGUACCUAUUAAACACAAAACGUUGAUAUGGCAAAAAAAUGUGUUUUGCACUUCCCUGAAGCGCGAAAAGAUUCAAAAUAGUGUCUUUUUGAUUUUUUUUUUACAUUUCUUCUUCUUUUAUUGACACUUGGCAUUAUAAUUAACUUAAAAGCAUUUUUCUUCUUUCAUUUACACUUUUUUCAAAAAAGAAAAGGACCUCACUCCCUACCUAUCAUCUUCUUCAUACUUUAGUUUGCAAAACUUUCUUCAUUUUAGCUCCAACAUUAUUUUUCUUUCUUUUUUAUAAAAAAGGAAUAUUAUUUCUUCCAAAUAUGAAGAUAAAUGAAAAUCAACUAUGAAGAUUCAGAUUUGAAAGAAAGUAAGACUUUCUUUCGCAUGAUUUAUUUCAAAUUUCAUAAAAAUAAGGAACAAAUAUGAAGAAGAAGAAAGAAGAUAAAUGAUAUUUACGUACAAAAAAAGUUAGCCGAUAUUUAUUUAUCACAAUUUUUGAGCAAAGAUUUUUAACUCAAAUUCAUAUAUAAACCCAUUAAAUUUAUCAAAAAUGAUAUUCAAAAAUUUGAAAGAAUUAAUUUUUGAGCUAUCAAUUUCAUUUUGUCAUCGAUGUAGAAAUGAAUAGCUGCCGGCAAAAUUUUCUUUCUUCUUCACUCUUAGUAUGAAAAUGUAUAUAUAUAUAUAUUUUUAAAGUUAAUCUUCAAGUUAUUUGAAAAGAAUUAGGUUUUGUGAUUUGAGAAAGAAUGUGUUUUGGGAAGAAGAUGAAGAUGAAAAGGGGUUGGGUAGGGGUGGGGUUGGGUAGAAUAGGUUGACAUUUUCAUUUUUUUCUUUUUCUUUUUAAAAAAAUUAGAUAUAAAAAGUGUUUGAAAUAAUUUUAAACAAAAUUAUUUUUUUUAUAAUUUUUGGGGCCCAGUGCCACAUGUUAUUUUGUAAUUAGCCAUUUUGCCAUGUCACCACAAGUGUAUCACACACUUUCCAUAUAUUUUGCUGAUUAUCAAAAAAUGCCUAAUAGGAACAAUUUUUGAAUUGGUAAAAGUGUUCAAUAGGUACUAGUCUUAGUUGAGGUGUCUAAGUGAAUUAUGCAGACAACUCAUGUGAAUUUUACCGUCUUUUCGAAAAUUUCUAUUCAUUUAACAUUUGUUAAGUUUAGCUUAUCACUCAGGUAUGUGAAAAUAUAUUUGAUAUCUUUUUCAAAUACCGUAUAGUUGUAAAAACCCAGAAAACCGAAAAAUAAAAAAAAAUAAAAAAAAAUAAAAAAUUGAAAAAAUUCGAAAGAACUGAUUAAAGCCGAAACCAAAAAAAUUGACUUUAUGUGGUUUGAUUUGGUUUUAAGAUUUAAUAAACCAACAUAGUUGGUUUAGUUUUUUUUUAGAGAAAAUGGUGUAAAGCCCCCUCAAUCUAUACCCGAAAUUUCAACUACACACUCCAGCUUCACGAGUGUCAUAUCACCCCCUGAACUGUUUAAAAUAAGAAUUAUUACACCGUUAAAACAUCACAACCACAUCUAUGCUAAUGGGUGAGACUCACGCUCUGUAGAAAUUUUAUUUAAAACUUUUUUUUAAUUCUUUUUCUUUUUUGACUUAUUAUUUAAAAAAACAAUUUAAUGUCAAAACGUCAUGGUGGAUCUCUUCUUUUACAGGAGAUCCUGAAGAGGCAAAAGAUCAACAAGAAGAGUAAGUACCUGCUAUUGCUGAUUAUGCAGAAUAUGGUGGUGACUGGACUAGUAGCCAAAUCCCUGAUACUCAAUGGGUUGCAGAUGGUGCAACAUCUGUUCCUGUAGCUACCGGUGGCUGGUCUGGAGAAGCAAUGGUUGAGGGAGGUUGGGACGCCGCAGCUGCUCCUCCUGCACCAGUUGGUGUACCAGAAGUGACCCCUGCCCCAGCUGCUGUUACUGGCUGGGAAUGAAGACUCCUUUAGAAAGUUCUUUUUGGUUAAAAUUAGAUAUGUGAGUUCUUAUAACAGAUGGUUUUGUUUACGAUGCAAUUUUAUAAAAAAUUUGGACUUGUUGAUGUACGAAACUAUUUCAAAUCAUUUAUAGCAAAAAAAAAAUUAAUAAAAAAAAAAUGUCAAAACAUCAAAGUUUAUGAAUGUAUUUUGGAUCUCCAAUUUGAAACAUGUUGAUAACAUAAAUGGUUGUUAAUUAUUUGAAGCUGAAUACAUUGAGUUUAUGACUGUGAUUUUCAAAUUUAAAAAAACUCCCGAAAUUUCAUGAAAAUCGACGUGCUUGAAACCUCCAUUAAAAUUAGUUUAAAAGCUUGAGCUAAAAAUUUGACUUACCACAAACGAGCACCGUUUUGAGUGGGUAAUAUAUCAAAAGGUUGGAAACGUCGAGGGAAGCUUAUAUCUAAAAUUUAAGGCAAUUUGGAGAUGAUUUAGGGUGGUUUUGCAUCAAAUUUCAGUGUAAUGGAAUGAAGAAGAUGAAGAACAGACGCUAACUUUUCAGAUGUGUAAGAAAAGGACUAGUUAUUAAAAUUAGUCGUAGGUCUGUUGGGUAUUAAAUAUAGGAUAAAAAAUUAUCUUAAUAUUCAAAGUUUAUUGAAGAAAAUCAUUUGGGUGUUCAUGUAUUAAGCUUAUCCAACCUUAAUUUGCUUUGAUUUUAAAAAAAUUUGGUGCAUAAAUCAAAGAUUUUUUAUAUAUAGUUCUUGAUUAUGGAGAGUAAUGGGUGAAAUUGCUAUAAACGAUUUGUGGUGUAUCAAUUAAUGUAGUGAUAAGAAUGAUUUCAAGAUGGUGAAGAACUUUGGUGCAUCCAUAGAUGCUCAAUCAAAUUGCUAUGAAGAGGUGGUUUUCAAAAUUUUCUAAUUUCAUGUGCAAAUUGAAAAAUUAAAAUUCUAGAAUCAAGAGGAAUAAUGAAAUUCCAUGGUGAAUUCAAUGAAUGUGACGGUUGUGGCGGCUUAGAGAAGGUGAAUGGUGAAGAGAUUUGAUUUAUGUUGUUGUGAAGAAGAAAUAAAAUUAAUAAGAAAAAAAAAACUAAAAAUACACAUUUAUGAAAAUUUCAAAAAUAAAGUUUUAUUAUCUGUGUUGGUUCUCACUCUCUCUAAGAGAGUGAGAUACACUCAAUGUGCCACGUAAGCGUCUAGGGAGUAAAUUAUUUUAGUUUUAAAUAGUUCAGGGGGUGAUAAGACACCCGUGAAGUUGGAGUGUGUAGUUGGGAUUUCGGAUAUAGAUUGAGGGGCUUUAGACCAUUUUCUCUUUUUUUAAUGAAAAAUCAAACCAAACCGGCCAAUGUACACCCCUACCCACAGCUCAUCAUCAUCAUUCUUUUUGUUGUUGUUCAUCAUUAUCUUCUUCUUCUUCUUGUUCAUCUCUUUUUCUUCUGUUGCUUGUCGUGACAUUCACAUUGUUGGUAUAGCUGCUAUCGGACCAAAUUUCAUUCCUAUAUCACUGGGUGUUACUUUAUAGGUGAUUUUGAUAAGUAAACAAAUGAUUUUUAGUCUAAUUUUUCAUCUGAGUAUUUUGAGUGUUUCUUCAAUAAUUUACAAACGCGUAUCCAAUAUGUAAGUGUCACGACCCAGACUGUCGUGAUUGGCACCCACACUAACUCUUCGGGAGAACCACUACUACAACCCAACCAAACAACUAAACCAUUUGAGUUACGGAAGCAAGUUAAAUACUAAGGAAAGAAAUAGGGAGUUACCAUAAACUCAAAACAAAAGUCUAUCAACUAAACUAAAUGCGGAAAAAUACACCUAGAACCUGAAAGUCAAUGUACCAACACAUCUAAAGUUCAACAAGUCAAAACAAGAAGGGAUAUAACCCCGAACUAAUGAACUAUUAACUAACUUCUUUUCAGGUUGGCAAACAGCACCCUAAAGAGGAAGAGUAUCUUAUUCUUAUAGACCUUUCCAUAAUUUACCUUCAAUCGGUAAUGCUAGAAUAGGUGCGGUGGUUAAAAGAGUCUUGAGAUUUUGGAAGCUCUCCUCACAUUUUUCAGUCCAUUCAAAUGGGAUCUUCUUUUUGGUCAACUUAGUCAAGUGAGUGGUAAUAGAAGCAAAGUUCUUCACAAAUUGACGAUAGUAGCUAGCGAGCCCCCACAAAACUCCUAACUUCAGUCACAGAACUUGGUCGAGCCCAAUUCUUUACCGCCUCAAUCUUUUGGGGAUCUACCAUUACCCCUUCUUAUAAACUAUAUGCCCCAAAAAUGCAACAGAAGUCAACCAAAAUUCACACUUAGAGAAUUUAGCAUACAACCUUUGUUUCCCAAGAACACCUAAAACAAUACGAAGAUGGUCGGCAUGCUCUUCCUCACUUUUCGAAUAGACCAAAAUAUCAUCAAUACAGACUAUCACAAACGAGUCAAGAUAUGGCUUGAACACCCCAUUCAUUAAACUUAUAAAAGUUGCAGGCGCAUUAGUCAAGAAAAAAUACAUAACUAAAAACUCAUAGUGCCUAUAGCGGGUUCUAAACGCCAUCUUGGGCACAUCCUCAAGCCUAAUUUUCAACUGAAGGUAGCCAGACCUUAGGUCAAUCUUGGAUAAAACUGAUGCACCUUGCAAUUGGUCAAAAAGAUCAUCUAUUCGAGGCAAAAGAUACUUGUUUUGAAUAGUGACCCUAUUCAAUUGCUGGUAAUCUAUACACAUUCUCAUACUACCAUCCUUUUUCUUAACAAACAAAACUAGGGCACCCCAUGGGGAAGCUCUAGGUCAAAUAAAUCUCUUAUCAAAAUGCUCUUGGAUUUGAGCCUUAAGCUCUUUUAAUUCCGUCGGAGCCAUACUAUAUGGAUAAAUAGAAAUGGGGCGCGUAACAGACUCCUAGUCAAUGCAGAAAUCUAUAUCUCUAUCCGGAGGUAUACCAGGCAAGUCAGUAGGACACACUUCUCUAAAUUCUGACACCACAUGAAUAGAUUCAAUAAAUGGAGUCUCAACCUCAACAUCCCUAAUGUGAGCAAAAUAAGCCAAACAACCCUGCCCUACCAGUUUUCUAGCCCAAAUGAAGGAUAUGAUCUUAGGUUGCUUAGGCUUGUACACCCCUUCCCACUCUAACUUUUCCCUUCACAGAAUUUCUAGAGUUACUGACUUAGUAUUACAAUUUAACACAACAUAAUAGGGGACAACCAAGUCAUGCCUAAGCUAAUAUCAAAGUCAGUCAUAUCCUAAAUCACCAAAUCAGCCCAAGUAUGAAAACCAUAAAAAAAAUAGGACAAGCACGAUAGACAUGGGUGACUAUGACUGACUCUCCAACUGGGGUAGGAACAUGGAUAGCGGAAUCAAGUAUAUCACAAAUCAUAUCAAACUUUGAGGCAAAUCUCACAAAGACAUAAGAAUAAGUAGAACCCGGAUCAAAUAACACAUUAGCCAUCCGGUCACAUACAAGAAUAGUAAUUGUGAUCACUGCGUCAGAUGCCUCUGCCUUAUUCUUGCUCGGAAAUGCAUAAAACUGAGCCCUAUCAUCUUGACGAACCACUUAUAUGCCUUUUUGCACGUUACCCCUGCCUGCAUUACCAUUUCCUCUACCUCUACGGCCUUACUGAUUACCUCCUCACCCACCUUGUGGAUGCCCUCGACCAUUAUUACCAUUCCCUACGGGUAGCACUUCUCUAGACUACUGCUGCGCGGAGUCCAACACACGUGGGUGAGGACAAUCUCUCCUCAUAUGCCCAAGCUCUCCACAUUUGUAACAUGUACGAUCAAAAAAUAGCCUACUGCCCACUUAAGGUGCGACUCCCUAGCUAUCAUGAAUUAAAUUAUGAGAUGGAGUACCCAAGUAAUUACCUGUAGAGGAGGGCAUAGCGGAUUGAAUUGACUUGGCUGCAAGCGUUGGCCUCCCUGAACCUCUAGAAUAAGAACCUUGAAAGUUUCCUGAAUUCUUGGCCCUUUUUGUCAAUGCCUUAGCCUGAUCGGCUCGCCUCAACCCCUCCACUUUCUUAACAUAGUAUGUUACCUCAUUAAAGCUCCUCCCUGUAGAAGUCAUAUGAAUAAAUAAUACUUGUAACUCAGAAUUUAGUCCCCUAAUAAAUAACCGGAUCCUCUCCUCCUCAGUAGUCACCAAUUGAGUAGUAUAUCUAGACAAGGCAUGUAACUUGGCCUCAUAAGCAACCACAUGCAUACCACCUUGCUCCAAAGCCAUGAACUCAUUCUUAUUGCGAUCCCUCAAAGUCCUAGUCACAUACUUCUCUAGAAAUAGAGCAUGAAAUUAGGUCCAAGUAAGUGGAGGUAAAGUAGAAGAUCUGCAUUCCAUAUAAGCUCUCCACCACUGUUUGGCCUCACCUUGAAGCUGAAAGUCACGAACUCAACCCCAUGUUGAUGGAAAAUUCCCAACUUAUGAAGCCUCUCAUAGCAGUCUAAGAUAAACUCAUAAGCAUCCUCAUUCUCAGAACCAAGAAACACAUGAGGCUUUAGCUUUAAAAACUUGGUCAACAUUUCAUGCUCAUUACCAGUCAUAACAGAACCCAACAAAGGACGGAAGAAAGCAUCAUUACAUCUCGUUCCACCUGUCUUGGGCGCAGUGCUAGCAAUAGGGAGAUUAGCGGGAGCUUGAGUUGCUUGAACAGAAGGAAGCACUCCAAGACCAACCAACCCUUUCAAGAAUGACAUGAUCUGUCGAGCUAAAAUUGGGUCUAUGGGAGGAAUAUCAGUAGUCUUAGCCAGCACCUCUUCCUCUUGUCCCACGUCCUCAAUGUUGUCAACCUCGAUAUCCUCUUCAAUCUCUUCAUGAUGUACGAGAGGGUCUCAUUUUAGGGAAUAUUUUUUACCGGUACCCCAUCUCUAGCAGGCGCCACUCUUCCAUGGUCUAUACCCCUAGCUCUUCCUCUACCCCUGCCUCGACCGCGACCUCUCGCUGUAGAUUUCUAAGUUGGAGCAUUGACGGGAGCUACGUGCCUGACGCCGUUGAAUCUAGUGUUAAUUAUCUGUGGACAGAAGAGUGAAGGAGGUUAGAUACCAAUUUGAAUCGUCAGAUACCAAUUGGAAUCAAGUAAUAGCACGAAAGGAGACAAGAGAAACAGAGAGAUUUCCUAAAGUGCUAUAGCCUCUCGAAGAAAAGUAAAGGUGUACCCGUACUAUUUCGCAAGACUCUACUAGACUCGUUUUGGUACUCUAUUAGUCCUUUGAAUUUGAUAAGUAUACAUGAGUUUGAGGUGUCAUGUUGAUGAAAAGAUUGACUUCGUAGUGAUAGUCAGGGCUGACUAAUCAUAAUGGUAAUAAGAGUUUGUGAUGGGAUGCAACUAUAUAAUAAGAUUGUUGGUUAAGCGAAUUUUGUAUAGUAAUUACGACUUGCGAGUAUCUAGGGUUGUGGUUUUCUAAUAUUUGGUGAGUAACGUGGUUGUAUGGAAAGUUUUCAGAGAUGGUGGGACACCACUCGAAUAGAAUUUAAAGAGCUGGAGUCUUAAUGAAGAAGGAAAUAGUUGGAUGUAGUACAACCUUUAAAGAGAGGUGAGAUCAAGAGGCUAAAGAGGUAUCUUCAGAGGGGUAGAUAAUUCGGUUUAGAGACGUGUGAUUUCAUUCCUUUUGUUGUGGCUAUGGUAAUAGUGUCACGGGUCCAUCAGAUUGGUUAAAAACUAUUGAAAAAUAUUUGAGAAAGGAGUGUACAGGCAUAAGCUCGAGUGUGAUGAUAAGUGCUUUGUUUUUGUUUUUGAGUUUAGUAAUCAGUACGAUUGAAAUUUUAGCAAAAUAUAUUGUAAGAUCGAUGGAGAUGCGAUUAAUGAUAAGCGAAGAUCCAUGAAUUCAUAAAAAUCUUCAAGGUAUAAGCUAAUGUUGAUAGAUAAGGGGAUUGUGUUAUACAGUUGAAUUUACGAUUCAAAUUUUUCAUUGUAAGUCUACAUUCGUGGUGAUAUAUUUUUUCAAGGUAUGAAUUUUUAAGGUGAGAAAUGAUCAAUUGUAUCAGAUGUUGAACCUUUGAAAGGACUUACACCGGGUUUGAGUCGUAAAGUUUAUUACUUUUGAUUGUUAAAGUACCUAAGAAAUGUUUUCAUUUAAAAGUGCUGGUUUAGAGUAAGGUAAAUGGUCGGAGUGUUCAUGAUGGUUGUUAGUAAUGAGAGUGUGGACUUCAGUGGAAUGAUGUGAAGAGUAUGUGGAGUCAACCCAAUGGAAAUGACUGGUAUAGACUCUUCAAAGGAAAACCUUUAGUGUUAUUCCGUAAAAUUCUUAUGUGGCCAUCUAUUUCAUUUUGCACACGGUGGUGAGUAUGUUUUACUAGCUAUGCUCACAUGUUUUUUCACUUUUGUGGGUGGAUCUCUAGUGGUGGAUCAGGGGUACCAAUCAUGCGAUGUUCUCUGGUUGAGUGGGAUGAUUGGGAAUAUUGGUUAUUUCAGAUGACAUAUUUGGUGUUGUCUUGGAGUUGUUAAAGUAUUUCAGUGGUUCUACAUGUACCACCUUCCUUAUGAGAAUUCAUAGAAGAGCUACCAUGCAUAAUUAUGUUUGUCCGACAAUCUUAAUAUUCAUCUUGUCGUCGAGGUCAUGUAACGAUUAUGUGUGGUUGAAUAUGGAGAUCAUUGGGUCCAAUUCCACUGUUCUUAAGGGUAAUCUACAAUCACAAUUGCUAAAUCUAGCAUUUCAAUAGUUUUGUUAGGGGGUUUGUAUGCUUGGAUAUACCCCUCAAUAAGUAUCUAAUGUCUAAAGACCAUUUUUUUGUAACUUAAGCUUAUGGAAGUUUAUAUUGGGAGAUUGAGAUGUUGAUAAGAACUAAGAGUGUUGGGUAUUAUGAGUGUGUGUUGGUUAGUUCAGGUUCACUUCUAGUUGUAGUGAGUAUUGAUUUGGAUUUUUAUCAUGCUUAAGUGUUAAAGGAUUUGUCCGGAUGAUGGUGUCAAGGUCCUUGAUAACAUGUUGCAGACAUGUGUACGAGCAACUUUGGUGGUUGUUGGGUAUCGCUUUUGUUGUUAGUUAAGUUUACAUAUAACAAUAAUUAUCACUCGAGUAUUGACAUGACUUCAUGGAGGCAUUGUAUAGGAGGAUGUGUAGGUAUUCAAUUGGUUGGUUUGAGGUUGAAGGUGUGAAACCCUUAGGGGGUUGAUUUGGUGAAAGAUUUUCAAGAUAAGGUGAGAAGCAUCCAACCUAGCCUUCUAGAAGCCCAGAAUCGACAGGAAAAGUAUGCGGGAAAGUAUCCCUAGUUAUUCGAUGACUCGUGUACUACUCUACUCUUACCUUAGCCAAUUUUUCCUAGUUUAGCCAAUUUUUCCUAGUUUAUCACUCAGAGAUGAGUGAUAGGUAAAUUGGUAUCUAUUGUAAUGACUUGUUCCCGUUAUUAUGGAAAAGCCAAUGGGGAAUGAAUUUGGGCUAGAAAACUUUUGAGUAGUGACUUGAAAAAUUGUAGCCUAGUCCAGAUUUGGACAAAAUUUGAGUCAGGCGAAGUCUAGCGAAAUCUGGUAAUUAAUGGGGGAUCUAAUUAUGAAUUUGAUCACAUGAGUGGAUAGACAAGACGUUAAGGAGCCUAUACGGCUUUACAUAAUCAAAUUCGGGAUGGUAUAACUCCCGAAACUAAUCUUAGCGUGACCGGGUAGUUUUUGAACGUCAGGGUUGAAGGUGUGUUGUGAAAUGGGGGUUUGAAACUCUAAUUCCGACUCUCUGUCUUUGUAUAAGUCGCUAGGGUAGGGACGCUAAGGCGGGUUGGGUCCCGCUAUGAUGGGCCAGUCGAGACUUAAGUCGGGAUUAAACCCCAAAAACGUUAUUUUUCUGUAAGUUUCGUUCUUGAGAGCUAAGAGACGACCCAGGGAUAUUUCUUGAAGGUUUUCCACCUCUUCUAGCACUAAAGGUAAGGAUUUUACUCCCCUAAUCCAUUUUUUGAUCCGUAGAACUUAGAUUCUUGGUUAAUUAUUAUUGGGGGAGGGUUUUGGACUGAAUUUAAUGGUGGGAAAAAGCCUUAGUUGCACCUUAGGAUCAUGAGUUUGGUCUUGGGUUAUUGGGUUUUUUAUAAUCCGGGUAAUUAGACCUUAAUUAAUUGAUCCUUGCAUUAAAUUGUUGUUUGUAGACCUAGAACUAGCAAAAAGAAUCUGGAAAGGGAAGAUUCAAGUGCCUUAGGGGAAUUCAAUCUUGGUUUCGAGGUAGGUGAUGGUUUGAUUUCAUGUUUGUGAGAUAUAUGUUGGUAAUUGCUUCCUUGUAAUGCAUGUAUGUAUGUAAAUGAAGCAUUGUUGAUCAAACCUAAUGAAAAAAAGUAUGAAUGAACAAUUGAAUGCCAUGAUUCAACACUUGAUUGUCUGAUUUGAGUAUGUACAUAUGAGUGUGAUUGUGAUUGUGGUUGUGUUGAAUGGAUCGGAUGUCAAUUUCCGACACACUAACUGGGAUCGGUUGUCACGUUUCGACACUAACAUUGGAUCGGAUGUCAUGUUCCGACACAUAUAUUGGAUCAGGUGUCACAUUUUGGCACACUAAUUGGGAUCGGGUGCUACGUUCCGAUACACUAACAGUUUGGGUAUGAGUUCCAUGAGAGGACCAUUGAAUUGUCAUAUUCACUUAUUAUUGAGAAUGCGGAUUUGUACAUUGCUCUUGAAAUAAUAACUGUGCAUAUAUUCUGUAUAUGUCAUGUUUACUAUGUUGUGACUGCCUAUAUAUGUUUCGUUCAAUGGGAUAGUUGCGUGAUCUUACCAGUACACUGUGGUUGUAUACUGAUACUGCACUUGCUCAUUCUUUGUUGAGUACAUGACAUCUUCAGGAGGCUAUUGAUAGACCUCAUCUAGGAGAUCAGUGAUCGGAUCAGAUUUUAAGGGUGAGCCAGUUCUUUUAGGCUGCCAUGAAACCCUUCAUUUUUGUUUAGUCCAUUCUCUUCGGACUCAGACUAUUGUUUAGAUGUUUCUUAUGCUUAAUUUUGGGUUGUACCCAUUUUCUUAGACUUGUUGAAUUUAGAUGUUUUGGUACAAUGACUUUCAGAUUCUAAGGGUUAAACUUCCGCAUUAGUUUGGUUAGUUAUUUGUUAAAACCUUUGGAGUUUAUGAGAACUCUAUAUAAUUUCUGCAUUUAAACCUGCUUCCGUAUCUUUAAAUGUUUAGUUUAUUGUUGAGUUGCUUAGUUGGGUUGUAGUAAUGGUUCUCCCACCGGAGGGUUAGUGUGUGUAUCAAUCACGACUGUCUGGUUCGUGACACUCCAACUCAAGCAACAACAAACAUUUGGUAAUUUGACCUUGGUAGUUACACUAAGAAAUACUGAGGUACGAACCAGUAUGUGUAGCAUUCUCGAUGAUAUGUCUUCAUUAGUGGUCCUAUAUGAUACCGUUAGAGUAUCAAUAUACUGACGGAGUAUCACAGAUGAUUAAGCUCACUCCUAUAUGAUACCGAUAUGGUAUUAAUAUACCAACAAAGUGUCACAAAGGAUUAAUUCAUAGUAGUGAUGUUGAUGUCAUGUUGACAACAUGUGCGAAAUAAGAAAGGAGAAAGUGGGGUAAGCAUUUAAAUUGGUUGGGUCGCCGGUCCAUUAAGCCUAAAUAGAUGGAUAAAUUAUUAAACUAGUAAAAAAUUCUAACAUAAUUAUUAAAAAUAUCCAUAUUUUAUAAAUAUUAGUAAAAAUAUCAAAAUGUCAAUAUUUUAGAAAAUAUUGUGUAUCCUAAUUUAGUUCCUAUUUUAUCUCACCUUAAUUACACGUUUUCCAACUCAUUCUCCCUCAUAUGUUUUUAAAAAAAAAGUAUUCUCUCUCACUGAUUUCUCUCUUCAAGUUCAAAUUCUUCUUCAUCUUUAAAUUUCCGCCUCUCUCUCUUCCGUUAUUUUCAUUUUUUUCUUCAAAAAUUGGAAAAUAUAUCUUUAAAGAUAUUCACUACAAUCCCUUUGAUUAAAGUAUGCAUCUUUAUCCGAUUUUUAGAUUUGUUUACUGAUUUUAUUUUUGUUUAAAUUUUUUUUAAAAAAUGUUUGUAAUUGAGUAUUAAAUUGACCAAUUUUCGUUUAGGGCUUGAAAACCACAAAAUCACUCUCUAAUGGCCGAAUCUAAGAGGUUUACAAGAGGUAUCUAACUUAAUAAAAAAAUUCUAGCGAUUUUCCAUCCUUUAAUCUAUGUAUUAUUCAAGAAAUAGCGGAUAAUGUAGGAUCCGCUGCUAAAAUGACGAAAGAAGACGAUCGAAGAGUUGGUGUUUGCAUCCUUUUGUACUCUGAAUCUUCUAAGAGUUUUCUUAAUUUUUGUAUUCAUUACAGUUUUUUGAGUGGCCUGAUGUUUUUUUGUAUUCUGAAUCUUUUUGUUAUGUUGUAUUUUGUAUUCAUUACAUAAUCUGAGUGUUCAUUGUUUAUUGUAUUCUGAAUCUGAUUGGGUAGUUACACACUUGUAUUCAUUAAAGAAAUUGAGUGAUAUGGUGUAUUUUGUAUUCUGAAUCUGUAUGGUAUGUCGUAUUUUGUAUUCUGAAUAUUUUUGGUAUGUUGUAUUUUGUAUUGUUUAGAGAAUCUAGGUGGUUAUUUUUUUUUAUUGUAUUCUGCAUCUAAGUGGACAGUUACACUUUUGUAUUAAUUACAUAAACUGAGUUUUCUGUUAUAUUAUGUAUUCUGAAUUUAAGUGGUAUGUUGUAUUUUGGUAUUCAAUAUCAAAUUCAGUUUACAUCUUUGUUGAAUUUGUAUUUAUAGAUUUAACCUUGUUUUCAUGCUGAAUUGUUUAUUUGUUUCAUUUUGUAUUUUAUUAUAGGCAGCAUAAUCAAGAGCUUGAUGCCGGAGUCAUUAGUGAUAGUGAGGCACCUCCGAGGCAUAAACAUGCCUCACAUAGUUUGCGAUGAUAUUGAAACAAUUUGAAAUACAAUAAUGGUUUAUUUGUAGUUUGGUUAAUCUUGCUUGAUUCUAAACUAUUUUGUCUAAUAUACAUUUAUCUUUUUGUAGUAGUUUAUUCUGCAAAGUCGUCGUUUUAAUCUUAUGAAGUUUUGAUUUAUCAUUAAAAAGGUUUGACAUAUAUUAUUGUAUUUCAUUAAUUGCAUAUUUUGUAUCUCUUCAUAGAGUACUAAUUAUAAAUGGUUAUGGUUUGAAAUAACUAAAAACAAGGCGGAUUCGUUAGUGAUGUUUCAAAUACGGAUAAAAUUUGAGUUGACACGAUUAUUCCUAUACAAUUUAAUUAGAAUUUGAAUUCAUAAUCUAAGACCUAAAUUACCAAAUUGUAAUCUAUUUUUGUAUUCAUUCCUUCUAUAUUCAUCAACAGUUUUUUUUGUAUUUCACUUCGCUCAUCUUGUAUUUAGGUUUCACUUUAUAUGCCAUAAAUAUUUCGAGUUAUUUAAAAUUUUGUGUGCCAAAUGGUAUACCAACAAGGUUUGUAUUCAAUGUAUUUGAUUAUUUUGGAAUUUAAUUUCAAAAUCAUACAACUUUAAAAAUAUGUAUACAAUUUGAUUUAACACCAUUAUUUUCUAACACAAUUUAAUUAAAAUUUGAAUUCAUAAUAUAAGACCUAAAUUACACUUAUUUUUAGUUUAUUUUUGUAUUCAUUCUAUCUAUAUUGACAUUUUGAAAAUUUUCUCAAUUAUAUAUGAACAUUUUUUGUAUAUCGUUUUGCUCAUCUUGUAUUUUUCACUCUAUAUACCAAAAAAAAAAUAUUCCAGUUCUUUUAAAAUUUGUGUGCCAAAUGGUAUACCAACAUGGUUUGUAUUUAAUGUAUUUCACUUUACAACUUUGUAUUUCUUAUAAAUUAACUAGUCUUCAUAAUUAUAUACUUUGCUUGUUAUAUUCUACACAUCAUUAAAGACUAAUCAGAUUAAUAUGUUCCUUUUAAAAAUUGAUAAUGAAACUAUGUGGACGCUGCUCUGUGGUUUAUUUUUUUAUUUUGUAACUGAUGAGAAUUUUAAGUGAUAUGCUCCUUUUUAAAAAUAUUUUCUCCCCUAAAUUUCUCCUUUAUGUUAUUAAACAAUUGUAUUAUUUCAAUUAAAACAAAUAAUAACAACAUAAAUAAGAUAAAUAACAAACUACAAUUUUGAAUGUUUUAAUAAAUAUUGAAAGUGUGGCUAAGGGGUCCUAUUAAAUGCUAAAAUAUUGACAUUUUGAAAAUUUUCUCAUAAUAGAUUGGGUUGCGUCCAUUUUUGGUAAGUAAUUUCCCAAGUGGGUCCAUUUUGUGUAGUUUUUCCUUACUUUUAGUAGAGUAGUGAUAUAGAAAGUUUUAAUAAAGAAGUAAUUAAAUUACAUUUUAAUAUUGGGAAAGUUACGUAAUUACACGACUUAAUAUAACAUAGAUUGUGUUUGGUAUGAAGGAAAAUAUUUUAUUGGAAAAUAAGUUGAUUUCUAACUUAUUUUCUAAUGUUUGGUUGGUGAGUAAAGAUAUUUUUUAGUGUUUGGUUGACGAAUGAAAAUAUAUUUUCUAGAAAAUAUUUUUUAUUUUUGACUAGAGAGUAGAAAGUAUAUUUUAGGAAAAUAAUUUUUGAAUCGAAAACCAAUCUCGAUAACUGAACCAGGACCCGACCCCAACAUUCGAACUAGGACAUGACCCUGAAGAUUGAUUCUCAAUCCGACCCUGAGAUCUGGCCUAGGAUUUGGCCCUGACUUUUCACUCGAGACAUGACAUUUGAACUGGGAUUUGACCUCGACCCCGGUCCCAACACUCAAACCUAGACACAACCACGAUAAUCGAUCUGAAAUCCGAUCCCGAUAUUCGACCCAAGACAUGACCUCCAACACCCGACACCUAACCCUGACCCAACAGCGAUACCCCAAAAAUAUUUUCAAAAUAAACUUUGUUAAGAAAAUUAAGGGAGGGGGAGGGGUGGUAGGGUAAAAAAUGAAAUGUUUAAAAUUUAAAAUUUAAAAUCUUUUUCAAGAACAAAUUUUUAAUUUUCUUUUUUCGGNNNNNNNNNNNNNNNNNNNNNNNNNNNNNNNNNNNNNNNNNNNNNNNNNNNNNNNNNNNNNNNNNNNNNNNNNNNNNNNNNNNNNNNNNNNNNNNNNNNNGGCUGGUAGGAGGGUCGGGGUAGGGGGGCUCGUAAGGUGGUCGGUUUAUGGAUGAAGUAAAACAAAUGAAAUUUUUAAAAUUUGAAAUACUUUCAAAAACAAAUUUUUAAGAAAAAAAUUGUGGGGGAUGAUUAGUGGUUGGGUGGCGUAAAAAAAACUGAAACUUUUAAAAUUUGAAUUAGUUUAAUAAAUAAAUUUUUUAAAUUUUAAUUUAUUUGGUUUGGUGGGAGACUGCGUCUGGGGGCUGGUUUGGAAAAUGUUCCUUGCCUUUUUCAAGGGAAGUCAUUUUUUAAAAAUUUGAUGAAAAUAAGUUGAUUUGGAAAACAUUUUUCAAAAUAUUUUAAGUCAACCAAACAAGAGAAAAUUGGAAAACCAAACACACCCAUAAUCUCUAAGAAUCUCUACCAUUUGAAUUAAUUACAAAAAUUCAUUUUUUUUUCAUCUCCCUCUUAACAUCUAGAUGCAUUACUCCACUUCUAUCAGAUACAUUACAAUUUUAUUUGGGUACAAUGUAUGUGGUACAAAUGUUAUUAUUGAUACAACACCCCAAUUAUUUCAAACCUAAAUCAGUAUGAAUCUGGUUCAUAGUAGUGUAUCUUAUACAUAACUUAUGUAUCGUUGGCUAUGUAUUGGGCGAAGGAGCAAUGUAUCCACAAAUUCUGAAAAAUCCAAAAUUAUUGUAAUUUGAAAUUUUUUCAAAAUAGAAUGUAACUAGCACCCAAAUUAUUGGGAUAUUUGUAAUUUAAUAUUUUCCUAUAAAUGUAUAUGAAAUGUUAUUGGUUUGUCAAAUCAUUGACGCUCAAUACUUUUGUGUACAAUAUUUUCCAGUUGUUUAUAACCCAUUGUUUUUAUUAGAGGUCAAAAAUGAUAGAUACAAGUGCCAACAAAAUAUUGUUUCUCCCAAUUGCAUGUAUUCCUCGAAAAGGACCAAAACCAGGAAUACAUUGCCCUCUUUUAUCCUAAAUCUUCAUGACUCUUUGUUGAAUUUUGCAUUUUAUAUGCGUAUAUCAAGGUUUGAAUCAACAACUAUUCAUGAAUAAACAAAAUUCUUAAAAUUAUUUAAAACACACAAUUGUUGAAUUUAAUUCAAAUCUACGUAUUCAUUCAUAAUUUUGUUGUUCAUGUUAAAGAUUUUGUUACAGAAGAUUGGGGACGAUGCCGGAAAUAGAAUUUGGUAUGCACACGGUGAGAUCUCAUGGGGCUAAGGUGGCCAAAAAACACAAAUGUGACUGGUUGAUUUUACUUGUGCUUGUGGCAAUGGAUGGAUUCUUAAACUACAUUCAACCUUUCAAUCGUUAUACUAACUCAAAAAUGUUGGAAGAUCUCAAAUUUCCUUUCAAGGAACACGACACCAUCCCAAUGUGGGCCGUUCCUGUAUGUAUUUACUUCGGAGUUUAACUUAUAUAUAUCUCAAUAGUUUUUUUUUAUAACCUAUUAUAGCGAGUUACAUGUCUUAUUUUUCAGGUUACUAGCUAACUUCGUUUAUUAUGGCCUAUUUAUUUGUAACUACCUUUAAGUAAUGUGAUGGCAUAAAAGAGUUCUACACAUCCAAUGGUGUGUUGAAGUUAAACUCUACUACUUUUAUGUAGGGGAGUAUCUAGAGAGGUGGGAAGGUGUUCGGUCAAACCCCUUGGUAAAAAAUUAUAUUGUAUAUAGGGUAGAUUAUCUAUAUAUAUAAGUUGUGAAUUCCCUGAACAACGUGCAGAAGGUUAGCUCAAUGAUUCAAGAUAUUUGAAAUGCACCCUAACAUCCAAGGGUUUGAUUCUUAGGGAUUGCAAUAUUUUUCGAACACCCUGAGUGAAAAACCUGAACCCGACACAGCUUUUAUGGCUUUAAAACUCAAUAAUUCUCAUACCUCCAAAUGAUUAUACCCUUUGUUACAUUCUUUUUGUUGUGGUAGAAAUGAGUAUUCAUUUUCUGAGGUUUUACCCCAUCCUUUUUUUGAUAAUUUUCCCACUAUAACAGAUAUUUGCAAUAAUUCUACCAUGCACAGUGUUUCUCAUUUACUAUCACUACAGGAGGGAUGUAUAUGAUUUGCAUCAUGCCAUAUUGGGUGGGUUUUAUUUGAAGUUUUAUAAGGAAAAAACAAUUUUCGAUUUUUUGGAUUUUCAUUGUAGUUAGUACUAUGAAAUUGAUGACCUUUUGCUUGUAAAUCUAGGCAUCCUGUAUUCUGUUCUAGUGACUGCAGUAAUCACCGAUAGCAUCAAAGAUGCUGUUGGUCGUCCACGCCCAAAUUUCUUCUAUAGAUGCUUCCCGGAUGGAAUCGAGGUGUGUCUCCUUUUUCACACUUUAACAUAAUAUUAUGCCUUGAACUUCGGAGAUUCUUUCAUGUAGUCCAAAAUAUGAUCCAACUCAAAAGGUCUGUGAUUCAACCUAUAAGUCGAUACUAUGUGAUCGAGGUCUGUGCUAAGCGCAAAAAUUCAACUUUUACUGUUUAUGGCAAUGGGGGUAAUUGGAAAAGACACGGCCUAAGUGUUCAUUUUUCUUCUUUUAUAAUGUGUGUGUUAUUCUGAGUAUGCCAUAACAUAACAGUUAACUCGAAAAGUUUGACAUCAACUCUAAUACAAAUUUUGCAUUAAGAUACCUUUUUCAAUUCAUAUGCAGGCCUUUCAACCUAAUGGGGAUGCUAAUUGUCAUGGAGACCCUAAAGUUGUGAAAGAAGGAUAUAAAAGCUUUCCCAGUGGACAUACCUCAUGUUAGUAGUGUUCAUUUAUUCUUAGUUUCUUCGUUUUUGUUUGUUUUCUUCUUGUUUAUGAGUUUAUGCUUGUCAAAAUAUAGGGUCAUUUGCUGGCCUUGCUUUCCUGUCAUGGUACUUGUGUGGAAAAGUGAAGGCUUUUGACAGAAGAGGCCAUGCUGCAAAACUCUGUAUUGUUCUGCUUCCUUUACUCUUUGCUGCAUUAGUCGGAAUUUCUCGGAUUGAUGACUAUUGGCAUCACUGGACAGAUGUAUUCACUGGAUCCAUUAUAGGUUGGUUCAACGUUCCUAUCCAACACUUGUAUGGAUUCACUACUUUGAUAAGUUUGCAAAUUGAUUUUAGCUUGUUUACCUGAUAAUAUAAAAGUAUACUAUUAGUAUCAUGUAGCAGGUUAACCACUAUAGACAUUGCAUGUAGUUGGCCUUCAAAUGAACUAAUAGUGUAAAAAAACAUUACACUAUCAAUGUUCGCGCCUUAUAAUUAUCAAAUUCUGACUAUGCUAUUCUGAGAAAUAGUGUAGCUAAACAUCUCAGUGUUUUUUUCGUACAGGAAGCGUGGUUGCCUCUUUAUGCUACCUGCUUUUCUUUCCAUUCCCUCAUGAUAUCAACGGUACAGCCUCAACUCUCUGAAAACAGAAUGAAUCUCUUAGUUCAAUGUCAACGUUACUAGUUAUUUUCUAAAUAUUGUUCAUUUUUCCAUGAUAACAGGGUGGGCACCUCAUGCAUCUAUCAAAAUGAGAGAAAAUAUUAAAUUGCACUCUACAUCAAUAGGAAUUGACACCGUGUAAUGCAACGAGAGUACAAGAGGCAACCCUCAUUAUCCAGGCAUGAACAGUAAUGCAAGAUGUUGAUGGUGAUGGAAGGAGAUACUGAAUUCAGAUCUCCAUAGCCUCGUCGAAAGAGCAAAUACAUCAUCUAAACCUUUGUACUCUUCUUUUAGUUUAGUCUGGCUUAUGUUGGCUCAGUCUGAAGUCAUAUCUAUAUAUCAAAAGAGUUGUACAAUAUGGAGAGAACAUUGUUCAUUACCUCCUCAUUUUCUAUGGGGACAAAGAAAAGGUUCAAAGUACUCUUACAAAACAGUCUUGUUGUACAUUUGUAUCUACAUCUAAAUAAGAUGAAAGAGAUUACUCCGAUUGUUGGGUUCCAAAGAACUAGGGCGUCAUGUUGAAGCUUACAAUUGUAAAUAAUGUUUGGAAUAAAUAAAUGACAAAAACUUAUACUAAAAAUAUAAUACUGUUAUAUAAUUUGGUCAAUUGGUCUAUAUAUGAGAAAGCAAUAUAAAGAAAAUAUUGAAACUAUUGAGGAAAAAAUCUCUCCCUAAACAAAACUCUUAAAUGACUACAUUCUGGAUGUUAUUAUGGUCUUUUGGUAUGAGAAGAGAGUUAUUCAAUUUAUAGAGUUUCAAGCUUUUCCUCAAAAAAGGAAUAACAAAUAUGGAAGAGAAUUAUAUUUUCCUUGUAGAAAAUAACAAAAGCAGUUAUGAUAAUGCUAAUAUGGUUAGAAAAUCAAGACAAAACCUUACUAUCUAGGUACAAAUGUGAGAUCACUAAAGUUAAAGCAGCUUCUUGACCGAGCAAAAAAUUAUGAUUUUAUUGUAUAAUGAGAGAAUAAUGUAAGAAUACUAAACACGAAAGGAAGAAAAUAAUAUGGAAAAUCGAAUGUAGAAAGUAUAUUGCAGUUCUCUUCAAAUGUGUCUUUCACAAGGGUGAAGAAUACACAAUACUAAACACGAAAGGAAGAAAAUAAUAUGGAAAAUAUUUAUAGGACAGUAUAUUGCAGUUCUCUUCAAAUGUGUCUUUCACAAGGGUGAAGAAUACACCUUUAUAGGACAAACAAUUCAUCUGCUUACAACCUCUAAAAAUGUGUCAGUACUAUAUUUAAGAAAUACAUUAAAUAGAUUCUACGUUAGGGAGUUAAUUGAAUGAAAUAUCUACAAUUGAACGACUUCAUAACACUUUUCCUUGGAUGUUUAUAGAUAAUGUGCCUCAUCAAAUCUUACUAGGAAAAAGCCUAGUGAAGAAAAAAAGUACACAUAUCUCGUUAUACGUCUUGUGUGUUGCCUCAUUAAAUACCUUAUCAGGAAACUCUAGUAGGACAAAACCUUGAUGAAGGGAAAAAGAGUACUUUGCGUAUUUUAAUCCUCUCGAUGAAAACUUUAUUUGAUACUCCUUCCGUCCCUUUUUAUAUGUCAUUCCUUUCUAUAAAUAUCUGGACCACAAUACUUGUUAUUUUAUAAAAUUUAUGCAUAAGUUACCAUAUUUUGCCUAUUAUAACCCUUGAUAGAGUAGUUAAUUAAUCUUGAAAAUGUAUUCAUCAUUUAUUAUAAAGUUGACUUAAGAAAACAUUAUAUAAGGGUAGAAGGGUAAAGUUACAUCAUUUCUUAAUGCAAGUGCAAAGUAAAAGUGUGACAUAUAAAAAAGAACGGAGGGAGUAUCUCGGAGACGAGAAUUCCAGUCUUAUAUCUUAGCUUCUGAAAUAUUGACAUUGACAAUGUCUUAAUAAACAAAACUGAAAUAUUAUCACUCGAAUGAAUCUGUUGAACAUCUACCUCACUAUUUUGUUGAAGAUCACGUGUGAAAAAGAGCUAAGGUGAUAUAUAUUUUGUUUGGUCUCCUUUGAUAUAUCCUUCCUUCAAUUGAGAUAUGCAAGAAUCAUUAUUUUUAUAUAAUAUUAUUGGAAUUUUUGUUUACACAGAAAGACCACAUAAUUGCAAAAUAUGUUGAGUCAUUGAUCUCAACCAUACACACUUUCGAUUGGUUUUAUGAAUGACCAUUAUUUCUGCGUAAUUUGAAGAAGUGACAACUAUUGUUUACUUCAUUGAUAGUCAUGAUGUCGUUGUACCUACACAUGUGAAUAAAUAGCCUCUGAGGUUGAAUUUUGUGUGAUCAGACAAAUAUCCUUUUCAUGCCCCAAAAUCGGGUCAUGAUGACGUCCACUACAACCCACCGAGUGGACAAACCUAAACUCAAAUAACAGGAUGCGGAAGACACAGUUUAUACAAAAACAAUAAUAAUAAGUGGAAGACUAGAGUAAUAUAGAGAAAAAGGGUCAUAUCAUAUAUAUCUGUAGUGCAAAAUGUAGAAAAUAGGCCCAAAAGUGACCAAAUAACAAACUAACACAAGAUACCAAUCCCCCGAAUCUAGUGUCAGCUAUACAGGAGCUACUACGAACAAAAAGCUAUAAGUAUAUACAGAAAACUGUGUAACGACCCGUUAGAUUAUUUUGAGUACUAGAACUAUUUUGACACUUCCCGUAAAUUCUAAAUGGGCAUUUUGAACUAUUCGUAACUAUAAUUAUAUACCUAGUGGGGUAAUUUUAAUAAUUAAUCUAGUUGGUGGUUAAGAAAAUAGCAUUAAAAUUAGUAAUGGGCCACUUCCACUACUUUUAUAAUUAGUCAUGUAUAAUAAUUAGGGUUGUAAAUAAUCUGGAGAAGAAAGAAAGAGAAAAUAGAUGAUCGGCCACGAAAACCAAGUUGCAACGAGCGCUUCAGGUGAGAAAAGUUUUUCAGCUUUCAAUAUUAGAUCGUUGCGUAUAUAAAUAGAUUAUUAUAUUGUUAGAAUAAAGAGGUGAAUUGCUAUUUCUAUUUGCACCCACACGAAUUUGAUUGGAAAAAUUGAAACCAAAAGUUGUGGGGAAUAAGAUCUGAAGGUCGUCAUUGUUUAAUGAUCAACUUCUUUUCCAUUUGAGAAAUUGAAAUUUGGAAAGAUGCUCAGGUGGUUUAUACGUAUGCAUGGAUGGUUGUUUGAUUUUCUUCUGUUCAAGUUAUUGUAUGUAAAUUGAUGAUAAUUUGGGGGUCCUCUUCUAUUUUAUUGUUACAAUUGUUUUACAAAAUCAAGUUUUGACACUACUAUUAUUAUAUAUAACUAAAUAUUAGGUGUAUUGUAUUAUAUAAAUACCAUUAUAGUUAUGUUAUUUGGAGGAACUAAGAUUUAACCCUAGGCUUAAAUUUAAGAAAUAUGGGAUUUGACCUAUUAAUGAAAAUCAUGUUUGAAACUUCAUUAUAGAAUUGAGCUCGUUUACCUAAAUGUUAUGCAUAUAUGAUAGAUUGGGAACAUUCGGAGGAAUUGAGGAAAGAAAAGCAUUGGGGAAUUAACUUGCUUGACUUCAGCUCUUCGGUGGAGGUAGGCUAUGGUUUAUUCUAUGUGAUAGAUAAACUCUUAAUAGUGAUUGAUAGUCAUUGAGUAAUAUUGUGAAUUUUUCUAUGUACUUGGUUGUUGUGGUUUGGAUAAUUCAUGUGUUGUUGUGAUUGGUUUGUAAUCCCAAGACCGCGAAAUCCAUAAUCUUGAACUUGUUCUAUUAAAGUGAUGUCUCGAAUAAAGAAGGCUUAAUAAAAUAUUAUUAGGGAAGCGGAAAGAAAUUAUCAAGAAUGACAAAUGAAGUAAAAAUAUAUUUGGAUCGGGUGCCACGAGUCGGCAUGAUAUAAUAUGAUCGGGUUUCACGUUCUGACACGGUAUUAUUGGAUCGAAUGUCACGUUCCGACACGGUAUUAUUGGAUCGGUGUCACAUUCCGACACGUUAUUAUUGGAUAGGGCAUCCGUUCCGAUACGAUAUUAUUGGAUCGGGUGUCACGUUCCGGCACGGUAACAUUAAAGGAAAAUAUAUUGAAUUAACUGAAUGCACUCAAUCUCAAAGAACUCAUUUCCCAAAUGAGCGUGGUGUGGAGGCAUGAGUCCUCGUGUAUGUGUGUCUUUGGUAUUGUGACUGAUUAAGUAUUUGCUUCAGCGUUGUUGUCACUUGUUCAUGUUGUUCGUUGCUUGCCACCUGUUAAGUGUUAUAGUUGAUUUGAUGUUAUUACUUUAUGCAUAUUAAUUUCUAUUUUGAGUCGGUCGAUGAUAUCUACUCAGUACAUGUUACCCUGUACUGAUCCCUACUUGUCUUUUCUUCGUUUUCCUUUUGUGGAGUGCAGCGAGUAUACCAGCGACUUUGACUCGCCCUCAGCUCUAGCCAAUCUCCAGCAUAUCAGCUUCUAUAGAUAGCUAUUCAUCCGAGCUCGUGUUGGAUUCUCUCGGUCAUGGCAGGAUGUCCUUAGUUUUUGAACACAGACUAUUUUAUGCAUUUAUUUUGGUGUCUUGAUACUCUUAGACUUAGUAUUUGGAGAUUAGAUGUCCUUGAUGUGAUGACUUUCAGAUUUUGGGAAACGAUAUUUAAUAGAUGUUAGUGGAUUUGUCUUUCAUACAUUAAUAAGAUUUAAGCUUCUACAUUAUGGUUAGUAUUUCGUAAGAUGAACAAUAAAUAUAAAUUGGGGUUGAAUUCAUUGGUUCUCCCACCUAGGAGGUUGUAACAACCUGUUUCUGUUGUUAGGGAAAAGCCAUUGGAGAAAAAAUUGGAUCCGACUCCUCUCCAUUUCUCUUCUCUCUAUUUUCACCAAGUUCUAGCUUGGAUUGGAGACACAUGUCAUAGUUUAGAAUUAAUGGUUGGGAUCUAAUUAAUUAAAGCAAAGUCCUAACCAUAGUUAUUUACUUUCAUAUAUUUGUUUCUUAAAUAUCUUUGCUAUCCAGUAUAUUUUUCCUAAAUAUAUUUAAAACUUUUCUUUACUGCCCUGCAUACAUAUUUAAAACUUUUACUAAAUAUUUUUACUUUUUUGAAAAAAUAUUAUAAUAAAUUUAAACGUUUUUAUUAAUUCUAAUAAAGUAUUAAUAGCUACACUGUCUAUAGAGCAAUAUGGACUCCAUUUUGCAAUUCAUUAUAUUUUCCCUAAAUAUAUUAAAAAAAUAUUUUACUCCUAAAAUUAGAAAAAAACGUAAGGUAACAAUUUUUAAUUUUUAAUUUGGUAAAUAUUAUUUAAGAAAUGGCAAACGUUAGGGAAAAAGGUAAAAAAAAUCAGCAAAAAAUUACUCAAGUAAUUAAGAAAAGAAAUUCUUAAAAUAUAUUUAGGAAAAAUAUAAUGUAAAUCUACAAUUGUCGGAUUGUAAAAAUAUUUAAGAAGCAAAUAUAUGGAAGUAAAUAACUAUGGUUAGGACUUUACUUUAAUUAAUUAGAUCUCAACUAUUAGUUCUAAACUAUGACAUGUGUCUCCAAUCCAAGCUAGAACUUGGGGAAAAUGGAGAGAAGAGAAAUGGAAAGGAGUCGGAUCCAAUUUUUUCUCCAAUGGCUUUUCCCUAACAACAGAAACAGGUUGUUACGACCUCCUAGGUGGGAGAACCAAUGAAUUCAACCCUAAUUUAUAUUUAUUGUUCAUCUUACGAAAUACUAACCAUAAUGCAGAAGCUUAAAUCUUAUUAAUGUACGAAAGAGAAGAGAAAUGGGGCUAGAAAACUUUUGAGUAGUGACUUGAAAAUUCCUAGCCUAGUCCAGAUUUGGAUGAAAUCUGAGUCAUGCAAGUCUAGGGAAAUCUGGUAAUGAAUGAGAGAUUAAAUAAUGUUACAUGAGUGGAUAAAAAAGAUGUUAGGUAGCCUGUACGGCUUUAUGAAAUCGAAUUCGGGUGAGUAAAACUCCCGAAACUCACCUUAGUGUGAACAUGUAGUUUUUGCACGUCAAGGGUUGAACGUGUGUUGUGAAAUGGGGGUUGAAAGUCUAAUUCCGAAGUUCUGCCUCGGCGCAAGGCGCCAUGGCGGGAUUUAUUCCGCCAGGGCAGGGCCGCUGUGGCGGGAUGGGGUCUGUCGUAGCAGCCCAGUCGCGAAUUAAGUCGGGAUUAAACCCCAAAUAUGUUCUUAUUCUGCAAUUUUUGUUCUUGAGAGCUAUGAAACGACCCAGAGAAAGUUCUUGACAGUUUUCCACCUUUUCUAGCGCGAAAGGUAAGGUUUUUACUCCCCUAAUCAUUUUUUCAAUUCGUAGAACUUAGAUUCUUGGGUGAUUAUCAUUGGGGUGGGUUUUGACCUGAAACUAAUGAUGGAAAAAGCCCUAAGUUGGGUAUUGGGAUCUUAGGUUUGGCCUAGGGUUGAUAAUUCGAUUGUAAUUCGGGUAAUUAGGCCUCGUUUAUUGAUCCUUGCAUUAAUUUGUUGUUUUUAGACCACGAACAAGCGGAAAGAAUCCGAAAAGGGCAGAUUCAAGUGCUUUAGAGGAAUUCAAGCUUGGUUUUGAGGUAGGUGAUGGUUUGAUUUCAUGUUUGUGUGACGUAUGUUGGUAAUUGCUUUAUUGUAAUGCAUGUAUGUAUGUGAAUGAAGCACUACUGAUCAAACCUAAUGAAAUGAGAAUGAAUGAACAAAUGUAUGCCAUGAUUCAACACUUGAUUGUAUGAUUAUGAGUAUGUACAUUAUGAGUGUGAAUGUGAUUGUGGUUGUGUUGAUUGGAUCGGGUGUCACGUUUCGACACAUACAUUGGAUCAGAUGUCACCUUUCGACACAUAUAUUGGAUCGGGUGUCACGUUUCGACACACUAAUUGGGAUUGGGUGUCACGUUCUAACACACUAACAGUUUGAGUAUGGGUUCCAUGAGAGGACCAUUAAAUUGUCAUAUCUACUUGUUAUUGAGAAUGAGAAAUUGUACAUUGCUCCUGAAAUGAUAAUCGAUGUGUGUGUAUAUAUAUAUAUAUAUAUAUAUAUAUAUAUUCUGUACUUGUCAUGUUUACUAUGUUGUGACUGUCUAUAUAUGUUUCACUUACUAGAAUAGCCGUGUGAUCCUACAAGUACAUUGUGAUUGUGUACUGAUACUACACUUUCUCAUUCUUUGUUGAGUACAGAACAUCUUCAGGUGGCUAUUGAUAGACCUCAGCUAGGAGAUCAGUGAUUAAGACCGGAUUUCAAGGGUGACCCAUUUCUUUCAGGCUGUCAUGGAGUCUUUCUUAUUGUUUAGUCCAUUUCCUUCGGACUUAGACUAUUUAGAUACUUCUUAUGUAAGUUGGGGUUGUACCCUGUUUUCUUAGACUUGUUGCACUUUAUAUGUUUUGGUACAAUGACUUUCAGGUUCUAGGGGUUAAACUUUCGCGGUAGUUUGGUUAGUUAUUUAUUUAAACCUUAGGAGUUUAUGGGAACUCUAUAUAAUUUCUGCAUUUAAACCUGUUUCUAUAUCUUUAAAUGCCUAUAUUUUAAUUAAGUUGUGUGGUUGGGUUGUAGUAGUGGUUCUCCCACCGGAGGGUUAGUAUGGGCGAAUCACGACGAUCUGGGUCGUGACAAAGUUGGUAUCAGAGCCCUAAGUUCGUUGAUUUCCUUGUACCAAAAUGAGUCUAGUAGAGUCUUGCGGAAUGGUACAGAGACAUUUGUACCUUUCUUUGAGAGGCUACAUGACUUUAGGAAAUCACUUUGUUUCUACUAUUUUCGUGUUAUGACUUGAUUCCAAUUGGUAUCUGGUGAUCCAAAUUGGUAUUUAUCUUCUUCCAACUUAUGUUCGCAGAUGGUUAACACUCGUUUCAACGGCGUCAGGCGCAUAGCUCCCGUCAAUGAGUCAACUAAGGUCAUAUCUUCCAUUUGGGCUAGGAAACUGGUGGCGCUGGGGUGUUUGGCAUAUUUGGCUCUUAUUCAGGAUGUUGAGGUUGAGUCUCUCUCUCGAUUAAGUCUAUUCCAGUUUUAGAGAAGUGUUUCCUACUGAUUUGCCUUGUAUGCCUCCAGAUAGAUAUAUAGAUUUCUGUAUUGAUUUGGAACCUGAUACCCGCCCCAUUUCCGUUCCACCGUAUCACAUGGCUCCAGUGGAAUUGAGAGAGCUUAAGGCUCAAAUCCAGGAGCUUCUUGAUAAAGGGUUCAUUCGUCCUAGUGGUUCCCCAUGGGGUGCUCCUGUUUUGUUUGUUAAGAAAAAAGAUGGCAGUAUAAGGAUGUGUAUAGACUAUCGAUAGUUGAAUAGGGUCACCAUUCGAAAUAAGUAUCCGCUUCCUCAGAUAGAUGAUGUUUUUGACCAGUUGCAAGGUGAGUCAGUUUUCUCUAAGAUUGAUCUAAGGUCUGGUUACCAUCAUUUAAAGAUUAGGCCCGAGGAUGUACCAAAAACGGCAUUUAGGACCCGAUUGACCAAUACACCUGCAGCCUUCAUGAGUUUGAUGAAUGGCGUGUUUAAACCAUUCCUGGAUUCUUUUGUUAUUGUCUCUAUUGAUGACAUUUUGGUGUAUUCAAAGAGUAAGGAAGAGCAUGCUAACCAUCUUUGUAUAAUUUUGGGUGUCCUUGGGAAACAAAAGUUGUAUGCCAAACUUUCCAAGUGUGAGUUCUGGUUGGAUUCAACUAACUUCUUGGGGGAUGUAGUUUCAAGAGAAGGGGUAAUGGUAGAUCCCCAAAAGAUUGAAGCGGUUAAGAAUUGGGUCCGGCCUAGCUCUGUGACUGAAGUUAGGAGUUUUGUGGGGGCUCACUAGCUACUAUCAUCGGUUUGUGUAAAAUUUUACUUCUAUUGCCACACAUUUGACAAGGCUGACUAAGAAGGAGGUACCUUUCGAAUUGACCAAAAAAUGUGAAGAGAGCUUUCAAAAGCUCAAGACUCUUCUGACUACAACACAUAUUCUGGCACUACCGGUGAAAGGUAAAGAUUUCAUUAUUUAUUGUGUUGCUUCACAUUCGGGUUUGCGUGCUGUGUUGAUACAGGAUAAGAAUGUUAUAGCUUACGCAUCGCGGAAGUUGAAGGUGCAUGAGAGAAACUACUCGACACAUGAUUUGGAGUUGGCAGCGAUAAUGUUUGCUCUUAAGAUCUGGCGGCAUUACCUUUAUGGUGUCACGUGUAAGGUGUUUACUGAUAAUCGUAGUUUGCAACAUGUAUUCACUCAAAAGACCUAAAUCUGAGACAUCGAAGGUGGAUGGAGUUACUUAAACAUUAUGAUGUCACCAUUUAGUAUCAUCCGGGUAAGGCUAAUGUGGUGGCAGACGCACUAAACCGAAAGGCGGUAAGCAUGGGUAGUCUAGCUUGUUUGGGUGUAUCCAAGCGGUCGUUGGCCAAGGAUAUUCAGACUUUGGAGUCUAAGUUCAUGCAGCUGGGCAUCUCAGAGAAAUGUGGGGUGUUAGCUUGCAUUGAGGUUAGACCCACAUUCAUUGAGGGGAUAAUGGCCAAAUAGUUUGAGGAUGAGAAUUUGAAUGAGCUUAGAAAGAAGACAUUGUCUGGUAAGGCACAAGAUAUGGUUCUUGAUGCGGGAGGUGUGCUUAGUUUUAAGGGAAGAAUUUGUGUUCCCCGAGUGGAUGACUUGAUUCAGCAGAUGUUGACAGAAUCCCAUGGUUCACUGUAUUCCAUUUAUCCAGGUUUGACCAAGAUGUACCGAGAUUUGAAGCGAUUAUAUUGGUGGUUUGGUAUGAAGAAAGACAUAGCUGAAUUUGUGGCUAAGUGCCAAAACUAUGAGCAUCAAAGGCCUGCAGGCUUGCUUCAGAGAAUGCUAAUUUUGGAAUGGAAGUGGUAAAUGAUAGCUAUGGAUUUUGUGGUUGGUCUCCCCAAGACUUUGGGGAAGUUUGAUUCUAUUUGGGUAGUGGUUGACAGAUUGACUAAGUUAGACUCUUUUAUUCCAGUCAUAAUAGACUAUAAUGCUUAGCAGUUGGCUAAAGUUUAUGUGAAAGUGAUAGUGAGGCUGCACGGGGUGCCCUUUUCUAUCAUCUCAGACCGUGGUACGCAAUUAACAUUCAAGUUCUAGGGAAAUUGCAUGACGAGUUGGGCACUCAACUCAGUUUUAGUACAACUCUCCAUCCACAGAUGGAUGGGCAGUUAGAGAGAACGAUUCAAGUGUUAGAGGACACGUGUGAUUGAUUUUGGGGGACAUUGGGAUAAGUUCCUACCGUUGUGUGAGUUCUCCUAUAAUAAUAGUUUCCACUCCAACAUUGACAUAGCACCUUUCGAGGCACUUUAUGGGAGGGAAUGUAGAUCACCCAUAGGGUGGUUUGAGGCUAGAGAUGUGAAACCUUUGGGGUGGAUUUGGUGAAAGAUGCUCAGGAUAAAGUGAGAAGUAUCCAAGCUAAGCUUCUAACAGCCUAGAGUCGACAGAAAAAGUAUGCAGACCGUAAGGUAAGGACAUGGCCUUUCAGGCUGGAGAGCAAGUUCUUCUAAAAGUGUUACCCAUAAAGGGAGUAAUGCGAUUCGGUAAGAAGGGCAAGAUUAGUCCUCGAUACAUUGGUCCAUUUGAGAUUCUUGAGUAUGUAGGUCCAGUGGCUUAUAGAUUGGCCUUACCCCCUAGCUUAUCCGGAGUUCAUCUAGUGUUUCAUGUGUCCAUGUUGAAGAAGUAUCAUGGCAACAGAGAUUACAUCAUAAAGUAGGACUCAGUGGUGUUAGACAAAGACCUUCAGUAUGAAGAGGAAUCGAUUGCAAUUCUUGAUCAUGAUGUCCGAAAGACGAUUACCAAAGAGAUUAAGUCUAUGAAAGUUCAAUGGAAGCAUCGUCCAAUCGAGGAAGCUACUUGGGAAAUCGAGAAGGACAUGCGAGACAGUAUCCCCAAUUGUUCAACGAUUCAAGUACUACUCUACCCUUACUUUAGCCAGUCUUUCCUAGCUGAUCACUCGGGGACGAGUGAUGGGUAAACUGGUAUCUACUGUAACGACCUGUUUCUGUCGUUAGGGAAAAGCCAUUGGGGCCAAAAAACUUUUGAGUAGUGACUUGAAAAUUCCUAGCCUAGUCCAGAUUUGGACGAAAUCUGAGUUAUGUAGGUCUAGGGAAAUCUGGUAAUGAAUGAGAGAUUCAAUAAUGAAUUUGGUUACAUAAGUGGAUAUCGUAGACGUUAGAGAGCACGUACGGAUUUACGAAAUCAAAUUCGGGUGAGUAGAACUCCUAAAACCGACCUUAGUGUGAACGGGUAGUUUUGAAUGUCAAGGGUUGAAUGUGCGUUGUGAAAUGUGGGUUUGAAACUCUGAUUCCGAUGUUAUGUCUCCGCGCAAGCCACCAUGGCGGGAUUUAUUCCGCCAAGGCGGGGCCGCUGUGGCAGGAUGGGGUCCGUCAAAGCGGCCCAGUAGCGAAUUAAGUCGGGAUUAAACCCUAAAACGUUCUUAUUUUGCAAUUUUCGUUCUUGAGAGCUAAGAAACGACCUAGGGCAAGUUCUUGAUAGUUUUUCACCUCUUCUAGUGCGAAAGGUAAGGUUUUUACUCCCCUAAUCCAUUUUUCGAUCCGUAGAACUUAGAUUCUUGGGUGAUUAUUAUUGGGGGAGGGUUUUGACCUGAAACUAAUGGUGGAAAAAGCCCUAAGUUGGGUAUUGGGAUCUUGGGUUUGGCCUAGGGUUGAUAAUUUUGAUUGUAAUCCAGAUAAUUAGGCCUCGUUUGUUGAUCCUUGCAUUAAUUUGUUGUUUUUAGACCACGAACAAGUGGAAAGAAUUCGGAAAGGGAAGAUUCAAGUAUCUUAGGGGGGAUUCAAGCUUGGUUUCGAGGCAGGUGAUGGUUUGAUUUCAUGUUUGUGUGAUGUAUGUUGAUAAUUGCUUUAUUGUAAUCAUGUAUGUGAAUGAAACACUAUUGAUCAAACCUAAUUAAAUGAGUAUGAAUGAACAAGUGUAUGCCAUGAUUCAACACUUGAUUUUACAAUUAUGAGUAUGUACAUUAUGCGUGUAAAUAUGAUUGUGGUUGUGUUGAUUGGAUCGUGUGUCACAUUCCGACACACAUUGGAUCGGGUGUCACGUUCCGACACACUAAUUAGGAUCGGGUGUCACGUUCCGGCACACUAACAAUUUGGGUAUGGGUUCCAUGAGAGGACAAUUGAAUUGUCAUAGCUACUUGUUAUUGAGAAUGUGGAAUUGUACAUUGCUCCUGAAAUGAUAACCGGUGUAUAUAUAUUUUGUACAUGUCAUGUUUACUAUGUUGUGACUGCAUAUAUAUGUUUCACUUACUGCAAUAGCCGCGUGAUCCGACCAGUGUACUGUGGUUGUGUACUAUAUGACACUUUCUCAUUCUUUGUUGAGUACAGGGCAUCUUUAGGCGGCUAUUGAUAGACCUCAGCUAGGAGAUCAGUGAUCGAGACCAGAUUUCAAGGUUGAGCCAGUUCUUUCAGGCUGCCAUGGAGUCCUUUCUAUUUUUUAGUCCAUUUCCUUCGGACUUAGUAUAUUUAGAUAUUUCUUAUGUUAGUUGGGGUUGUACCCCGUUUUCUUAGACUUGUUGCACUUUAGAUGUUUUGGUACAAUGACUUUCAGGUUCUAGGGGUUAGACUUCCGCGUUAGUUUGGUUAGUUAUUUAUUUAAACCUUUGGAGUUUAUGGGAACUCUAUAUAAUUUAUGCAUUUAAACCUGCUUUUGUAUCUUUAAAUGCCUAUCUUUUCAUUAAGUUGUGUGGUUGGGUUGUAGUAGUGGUUCUCCCACCAGAGGGUUAGUGUGGGUGUCAAUCACGACGGUUUGGGUCAUGGCAAAGUUGGUAUCAGAUCCCUAGGUUCGUUGAUCUCGUUGUACCAAAACGAGUCUAGUAAAGUCUCUCAUAACGGUACGGAGACAUUUGUACCUUUCUUUGAGAGGCUAUAUGACUUUAGGAAAUCUCUUUGUUUCUACUCUUUUCAUGCUAUGACUUGAUUUCAAUUAGUCUCUAAUAUUCUUCCUACUUCUGUCCAUAGAUGGUUAACACUCAUUUCAACGGCAUCAGGCCCGUAGCUCCCGUCAAUGAGUCAGCUAAGGUCAUAUCUUUCAUUCGAGUUUGGAAAGUGGUGGGGCAUGGUUGUUUGGCAUAUUUGGCUCAUAUUCGGGAUGUUGAGGUUGAGUCUCCCUCUAUUGAGUCUAUUCCUGUGGUAUCAGAAUUUAGAGAAGUGUUACCUACUGACUUUCAGGUUUUAGGGGUUAAACUUUCACGUUAGUUUGGUUAGUUAUUUAUUUAAACCUUUGGAGUUUAUAGGAACUCUAUAUAAUUUCUGCAUUUAAGCCUGUUUCUGUAUCUUUAAAUGCCUAUCUUUUUGUUAAUUUGUGUGGUUGGGUUGUAGUUGUGGUUCUCCCACCGGAGGGUUAGUGUGGGUGCCAAUCACGACGGUCUGGGUCGUGACAGAGAUUAAGUGUUGGUGCCACUCAUGACUCAUUUUGGGUCGUGACAAACUGACUAAUCCAAAAUACAAAAUGAGAGUCAGUACAAAAAGAAGGACAACAACAAGUCUCUGAAUGUCAAGAGCUCACCUUAAAUAUGAGUCUAUGACCGCCACGGGAGAUCCAACGCUCACUGAGGGUGGCUCGAACUGGGAGCUGCAUCAGAAAAAAGAUGCAAAAAUGCAGUAUGAGUACCAAAACACGGUAUAUUCAAUUGCCAUCAUAGACCGACCGAGCUCAGAAAGAUCAAAUAUGUAUAUAAGAAGCUUGAUGAUACUAGCAAGUGAAGGGAGCUAAGACACACUAACCUUAUGAUAGAGAACAAGCAGAAAAUAUCAAGUUUCAAUCACAAGUUACACACAAACCACAAGACAAUCAACAUAGUCAAAGGCCAACUCACACGAUGAUACAAUGUAAAACUUCAAGUAGGAAGAGCCAUAAGACCGCAAGAAACAUUGAGCCGCCUAGAAUGAUACCUCAAGCUUAACUGAAUGUCAAUAAUACGGAUAGAUGUAUUCACGGGCCGCCGACAAUGACUCGUCGAGCUUACCCAUAAUUAGGAUAUAUGUAUCAACGGACCGUCCGAGAUGAUACUUCGAGAUUAUAAACAAUGUAAAUCUAAAUAAUAGAUUGUAGCCUGAGCCUAAGCCAAUAGGCCGCUUGGAAUGGUAUAUCGAGAUCAUUGGAGUAAAAGCAUUUGAAAGGUGCGUAAAUCAAGAAAAAUCGGGUUUUUUCACUGAUUUUAGGGUAAACUGGGUCUCAAGAACUUCCAACUCAUUAAGAACAAAUUCAAUUCACAAACCAAGUCAUUUCCGUUGAAAAUUGUUCAGGUAAUAAAUCCUCAAAAAUACUAUCACAAUCAAACAUGCCAUACACACAGAUCCGGGUAGGAUACCCGUCACACCACGAGAGUACUAACCUGGAACUCCUACCAAUCCAAGCUUACGGCCUCAAGCCCAACAAUUUAAUAGACUAUCAAAUAUCACAACUCAAGGAUCCACACCACCUUAUAUCUAUAUUAUUUUUCUUUAUUUCUAAAAUUGGGUAACACCUUUCUAAAUGGUUAUAAGAACACUUUUAGCAUAUUAACUAAUAUUUUUUUCUUUAAUCUUUGAAAAUUUUCAAACAUGUCACAUUGAAAUUUUCUAACAAAAAAAUUAUCACCAUUAUUUUUUAAAAAUAAUUAAAUCAAAUGUUUAUAUUAAAACAAGUAGUAGUGGAUGAUAUAAUAUACCAUCAACGAGUUUAAUCGGUCUCAAUACCUUCGAUGUGAAAUAUAGCUCUAUGUAUAUAUAUAACUCCAAACAUUGCAGCAAAAUGCAAGUACCAUUUAUAUUUCCUUCCGAAUUUUCAAUUUUCUACCUCUUAGUUACAAUUAUUGGGAAACCCCAAGUUAAUUUUUUUUGUUGGUUUAAGAUAUUUGGAUCCUUACAAUUUCAGCGCAUUCUUAAUCCAAUUACACUUGUUAACAUUAUUGUGUACAUUUAUUUUUGGUCGGAAAAAGAUGGAAAAUAUUGCAGGAUGAAAAACGGACAAUGAAUUGUUGGGGAGAGUUGCUACAACCGUCUAAGUAAACAUCUCCCGUCCCAAAUUAUUUGUCAUAUUUUAUUUUUUAAAGUCAAUUUGAUUAAUUUUUGGAGUUAAAUAACUUUAAAUUAAAAUUUAUAUUCAAAACUAUAUAAAAGUACUAGAAUCUUAAUUUUUCUCAUCUCAAUAUGAUUUAAUUUUUUUUUUAAUCUUAGAAUACUAGUUAAAGCUCAUGUAGUUUAAUAUUAAAAAACGAAACUUGACAAAGUGUUGACAAAUAUUUUGAGAUGGAGAAAAUAUUUAACUUGAAUUUUCUUGGAAUUUGGGGGUGGAUGUUUACCAAUUUUCUAAGUCUUGACUUGAACAAUGAAUUUAAUUAAACAAAAAAGGCAUAAAAAAUAGAAUUGGUUGUAUAAAAAAAGGAAAUAAAAAACUGAUCCAGCAAAUUUUUCGGGUACAUACUUACUGCAAAUAAGGAAAAUAAAAUAGAAAACUAAAUUGGUGUCAAUCUGUAUACCAAAAGGUUUCUAAUUCGAGUCUCCUUGGAUAUGGAGGGACACAAAUUCAGAUUUAGUCAGGCUUCAAUGUGGGUACCGAAACCAAAACAAAUAUUUAGUUAAAAAGUAGAUGUAAUCCAUUAAAUAACAAUAGAAAUAUUUGAUAAUUUAAUUCUAGAAAUUAAAGUAACUAAAAUAAAUGUACUACUAAUUACCACUAGAAAAAUUUCUUAUUCUCCAAUAUAUGCGUGUGGAUAUUCAGGCGUAUCAAAGUAAUCCGAUUCUUCAUCAGUCAAGGCUUUUGUAACAUCUCGUUAUUUGAAAGGACUAGAAAGAGUUAGAAUUGGAAAGAGCCAGUUUAGGAAAGAAUGAAAAAUCUGGAAAUUUGUUAAGUUAAGGUACGUUGAGUUUUUGGGUCAAAUUCAAACGACCAUAACUCCUAUCUUAGGAUGAGUUAGGUGUGCUUCCAGAUAACGUAGGAAAUAUCUUGGAAUUAUCUUUCCAACGCCACUGAGUUUGCGUUAUUCCAAGUUCGUAUGAGUGAGAUAUGCCCAUUUGAAGUUGGGUUGUUGAAAUAAGGAAAGUCUAAUCCGGAUUUUGGAAGGGUAGUUUGGUCUUUUCCAUACCCAAUUAUUUUAUUUCAUUUUUAGGAGCUUAAGUGGGGUCAAAUCUGAAUUAAAUCAGUUUUACGCAUUUACCAAAACAUGCUAGGGCUUGGAGAAAAGAGAAGAAAGGUUCAAGAUUCGUCCAUAUCGUGCAAUUUUAGUUGUGGAUUUCACCAAGGAUUCAAUCCCACGAGGUAUGUGAGACUUUCAUAGCGUUGGGUUCGUUCACCCAUGUGCCAAUCAUAUUUGUUUCAGCAAAAUUCGUUUCUAGAAAGUUGAUAGUAUGAUGUUCUUGAAUUAUGUUCUUGAAGUUUGCUUUAGUUCUUGAGAUUUGAUGGGAUUGUGGAGUUCUUGAUGGAAUCGUGUCGAUUUAAGAGUUUUUUUGAGUUAGAUUCUUGUGUAUAUAUAUGGGGUAUUUGAAUAUAUAGAGGGAUUGAGAAAAAGAAUUGGAUUUAGGUGAAUUGGGGUGAGAAAACGAAGAAGGAAAGAGUCGAGCAAGUUUUGGCACGCAAGUCUGCGUCGCAGACUUGCUCCCCCAGUGCAAAAAAAUCUCCGCGUCACGGAAAAGAUGCGGACUCCUCUGUUUCAAAAAUAAAUUUCGCGAUCAAAUAUUUAAAUGCAUCUCCGCAUUGCGGACUUGUUUUCAGACAAUGAUUUCUUGAUCGUUUCUCAUGUUUAACUAUCUAAAAACACUCCUAAACAUCAUGAGAUCUUUCCUAUCNNNNNNNNNNNNNNNNNNNNNNNNNNNNNNNNNNNNNNNNNNNNNNNNNNNNNNNNNNNNNNNNNNNNNNNNNNNNNNNNNNNNNNNNNNNNNNNNNNNNNNNNNNNNNNNNNNNNNNNNNNNNNNNNNNNNNNNNNNNNNNNNNNNNNNNNNNNNNNNNNNNNNNNNNNNNNNNNNNNNNNNNNNNNNNNNNNNNNNNNNNNNNNNNNNNNNNNNNNNNNNNNNNNNNNNNNNNNNNNNNNNNNNNNNNNNNNNNNNNNNNNNNNNNNNNNNNNNNNNNNNNNNNNNNNNNNNNNNNNNNNNNNNNNNNNNNNNNNNNNNNNNNNNNNNNNNNNNNNNNNUUGUUUUAAAAACAUAUGAGCUAAGUAUAUUUUGGGAGUAGUAUUGAGCACCGAUAUGGGGCUGCAAGUUCAUAAUAACUCAAGUCUCCAUAAACCAUGUAGCCAUCAUGGUUAGUAAAGGAUCAUACUUUUUAGACGACUCCUUAAGUUGCUUUUUAGCAUAGACUAGUAGAUCCACUUAGCUAAGCGUUCUAUAUGACGGCAAAGUAUAAGACAUUUCUGGCAGCAUGGGCAAGACGUUGUAUCAUCCCUUAGGCUCAUAGUGGUGGUUGUUGAUUAGAGAAACUCCCACAGUAUUAUAUUACUUUAUACGUAACUUGAGUUGUUAUUGUAUUUCUUUAAUACAUUGAGUUGUCAUCUACUAUUUUAAAUGUUUUAUAUAAACUGCACCUUUAUUGUUGUUUUUACUUCGCAUUUGAGUUGAGUAUUCAUAAGUUGAGUAAAGCUAAGGUAAGUGUUCCUUUCAGAUUCCUUUCAAGCUUAUGUUAUGUUUAGUUUUCCCUUCGCAUUCUCGUACAUUCAAUGUACUGAUGACAUUUGGCCUGCAUCAUUUUAUGAUGCAGACACAAGUAACCAGGAUUAGCAUCCAGCGCCUCAUUGAUCCAGUUGAGCACUCAGAGUCAGUUGGUGAGCCUCAUUGCUUUCCGGAGGGUCCCUCAUUAUCUUGUUUUUAGCAUUUCAGUUGUUAGGAUGAUCGGGGUCUUGUCCCGACAUCCCUCAUUGUUUUAGAGGCUUCAUAGAUGAGUAGUUAUAAUUCUUUAGUCUUUCCGUUUUUAGUUGUAUAUGUUAAGACUUGAGUUGCUAUUUUGGCUAGUUUAAUAUUUCUUAAAGAUAUUGCAUGAGUUGUCCUUUGAGACUAUUUCCUAUUAUUUAAGUCUUUCGCUAUAAGUUAAGCCAGGUCAAGGGUUCUGUAAUGACCCUCCAGGUCAUUUCAGUGUCUUGCCUUCUGUGUGUCGUUUAGAGUGUUCCUGUAGCGAUCCCAAGUCAUUUAUGACUUGCUGGGACUGACAGUUCGGUCACCUGGUUGUUCGUUUGGUUUUGGUGCGAGAUUUUGUGUUUUGGAGCUUAUGAACCUUGAACGAUCAUUUUCGAUCAAAAGUUCAAGAAGAUGACAUCGGAAUCCAAUUUUGACAAUUUCAACAGCUCCGGAAGGGUCAUUUAAGGCUAGUAGUAUGGUCGACAUGACUCCCGGGGUUUUAAGUGUGAGUCGGGGCGAUUAGGCGUUUUAACUUUAAGUUUAAGCCUAAGUUUGACUUUGGUCAACAUUCUGAGUAAACGCGCUCGGAUGAGAAUUCUGUCAGCGCGGUAAGCUCUAGAAUGUCGAGUUUGGUCUGGAACGACCUUUCGUUCGACUCCCGAGGCCUUCGGACUCAUUUCGAGCCCCUUAGUGGAUUUUGGUUAAAAAUGGCAUUUGGAAGUGGGACCCACUUUUUAUCGAGAUGACCUCGGAUGGAAAUUUUGACUGUGCCGUUGAGUUUGGAAUAUCAAAUUUAGUAGGGUAGCAUAUCUGUUUUAUUUUUAUCGGGUACCGAACGAAUUCCGAGCACCCCGUCGGAGACUUUGAAGAUUUAGCCAAAGCUGAGAUCUGGUGCAGCUCUUUAGCGACCAGAGUUUGGGCCUUUAACGACCAGAUGUUGGGUUUAGCGACCAGUUUCGCCCUUUUUAAAACCCCAACUUAGCUUUAUUCNNNNNNNNNNNNNNNNNNNNNNNNNNNNNNNNNNNNNNNNNNNNNNNNNNNNNNNNNNNNNNNNNNNNNNNNNNNNNNNNNNNNNNAAAGUUGUGAGAUUUUUUGAGGACAACUGGUUGGUGAGCUCGGAAUCUGAUUUGGGGUCCCCGUUCGAGGUAAAUUUCACAAAAUACCUGCUGUCACGACCUCCUUUUUGUGAGCUUGAUGUUGGGAUAUUUGAGACUUGUUUUCUCAUUCAUUUUAGGUCCGAUUUCAGCGAUUCUUGAGUCCAUUUUGAGUGGUUUUUUGAGGAGAACAUUGUGGUGUUGUCAGAAUUUACUGUAGACCGCUCGUUUCUAGUAAAUAUGUUGAAUUAGCUGAUGUCCCAUUUCUUUAGUUCUUGAGGAAAAUUUGGGUUUUGGUUGUAUGUUGGUAUUGUGUUGUUUCUAAGUCCCGAAUUGUGUCCCAUAAUGGAACACAAGUUUGGGGAGCUGUUAAGAACCUACUUUUGGGGUAAUUCCAAAAUUUUCAGCGCGGGUCCCACAAUUCCCGUUUUGACCCCUAAAUUAACUCGUCUCCGUUUGUUGUGAUUUUGGUGUCUAAACGACCGUACUAACGUUGUGACCCUAUAUUUGAUAGAGUGACAGCGUUCAAAGGUUGUUCGGGAAGGAAAAGCUCCAGUAAAGUGAUUUGGAGAGCGCGCGAUCGGCCUUAAGGUAGGCUACGGCUUCCUUUCUUUUAGAUUUAGCUUAAUUGUGUAAAAACAUGUCAAUUGGAGUGAAUUGGGGGUGGGUACCAGUUUACUACCUUACUUUGAUUAGACACCUUAUGUUAGGAUCGAUUGGCCACAUUUCGGGUAUAGUAUCAUGUUAACCAGUUUAGUAGAGUUGCAUGCUUAUGUGCUAAAUGCUAUUGUAUGCUUGUAUGCUAUGCAUUGCAUGCCUUAUUCAUCCUUAACUGUAAGCAUGAUGUCCUUAGUCUAGGUUAGACUAGCAUUGCCUUAGAUUUAUGACCCGUGUGGGCUGGAUAGCCUUGACUUGCUGUCGAUGUCGUUCGGAUGACUUAGCUCCUUGUAGACUAGAAUAGCAAACUUGAGUCUGAUAGUUUGAGCCUUAGAUUAGGCGUUAUCGCUACUUGCUGCACUUCUGUAUCUUCUCCCUCUCAUUCUGCGGUUCCGACGCAUUCUCGAAGGUUUGGUGCAUCACUCGAGGCGUGAGAUUUAGAUAGUAUAGACUUGGAGCCUUUUCCGUGAUGUCUUAGAGUGGACGACGUUCCACGGUGGUUGUUGUUGGAUUAAAUCCUAUUGGAGAUACCAUCACCCCCGGGGUCGUUCUUUCUAGCUGGGCUGGGAACGUAUCGCUGGCUAGGUAGACUCGGUGAUAUCGGUGAACGCCCCCGGGCCUCUCUUUCUGGCUGGGCUGGGAGUGUGCUGCUGGCUGGGUGUCCCCGGGUCGCUCUUUCUAUCUGGGCAGGGAGCUGGCUGCAUGGUAGGACGACUCGCGAUAUCUAUCUCACUCACGGGUCCCUCUUUCUAGCUAGGCUAGAAGUGGACUGUUUGGUUGGGUGCCCCCUAGGGUCACUCUUUCUAGCUGGGNNNNNNNNNNNNNNNNNNNNNNNNNNNNNNNNNNNNNNNNNNNNNNNNNNNNNNNNNNNNNNNNNNNNNNNNNNNNNNNNNNNNNNNNNNNNNNNNNNNNNNNNNNNNNNNNNNNNNNNNNNNNNNNNNNNNNNNNNNNNNNNNNNNNNNNNNNNNNNNNNNNNNNNNNNNNNNNNNNNNNNNNNNNNNNNNNNNNNNNNNNNNNNNNNNNNNNNNNNNNNNNNNNNNNNNNNNNNNNNNNNNNNNNNNNNNNNCGGUGAUUAGUUCCAGCCUUCUUUUGCAGCUGUGUUUCGGAGACGAGGGCGAGCACUUGGCGUUUUGGGUUUGUUCUGUCUCCUUCUUUUGUUUUAGCUAGUCUUGUUGCCUUUGAGACACGCUCUGUUGUGGUCCACUUUUGGGACUUGUACUCUUUAUUAGAUAGCUCUGUACUAGUGACUUCUAGGUUCUGGGAGGGAUUUCUGUAUAUAUUUAUUUUGGGUUGCUUCCACCUUGUUAUUCUUGUUUAGAUUAUUGUUUUCGCUAGUUCUUCCCUUUCGCUCAUUGCUUGAUGUUCUGGGUUACGGGUUGCCUUACCUACUGGUAGGGUAUAGUAGGUGCCAUCAUGACUCGAGAAAUCGGGUCGUGACAGGUUCUCUUGGGGACAACAAUUUUUCUCGAGUGCCAGUCACGCCCAGGGUGUAGGCUCAGGGUGUGACAACUUUAAACGGUUCAUCCAAUAAUGGUAGCUGCCAAUUUUCUGCAGAAUAUAACCGUCCAUCAUGAUCUCUCAGUGAAUUUCAGACACAAUCAGGAACUAUAUUCUCGAUUGUUAUAGGAAUAUCUUGAUGAUUUUUGCAUAAACUGACUUUUUUAUAAUGAAACACACAACAAAGUCUUCAUGUCUGAUUUCUCUGCGUUUUCUUAAUACAUCCCUUGUAGUUUUAUCAAGACAUUAUUCUUUCACAAUCGAGUACACACUUUCUUUAUCUUCACUGCUACUUUCUUCAUCAAAACGAAAAGUUUUUUUAUACCCAAUUCGUGAUCUUUCCUUGUCCAAAAUUUCUUUACUAUUGUCUCGUCCUUUCCAUUUGGGACCUCCAACAAUUGAUUUGUUGAAGUUUUUACCCUUGAUCGUUUUUCUCUUCAAUUGAGUAAAGAAAUAGUUUACAUGAUCAUUACCUAAAUUUUGGAAUAAGUCAGCUGGCUCUUUGUUACCGUAUAAGUUUAUAUACGGAAUGUCAUGGUAUUCUAUAGGCAUUCCACGAAUGAAUUUCGUUAAACACCUUAUCAGAUCUUCAUCCAUAUAUUUCAUCCUCAUAAGUUGAAAAUUAUGUGAAUUCCAACUUAAAAGAUACAAAACAAAGAAGAUGGAGAAAUAUUUUAAAGCAAAGAAAAUACAUAUAGAGUGUAUUUCCUAAUUUGUGUAGGAAAUUAAUUGUAGUUGUAAAAAUAAAUUUGAAAAUGUUAACCUUAUUGGAAUGGAAAACUAAUUGGAGUUGUAAUUUAUUUUUGGAAAACUUAACCUUAUUCAAAUAGAAAACUAAUUGGAGUUAUAUUUUUCUGCCCCUUGAUUUGAGUUUAUGCCUCAAAAACAGCACGCGUUUGCCAAUAAUAUUUAUUUGCUAGAUUUGACGAGAAUUAUGAAAAGAAGAAAAUUAGUAGAAACUUAUAUGUAGAGGUCAAAUAGUAUUUGUAAAUUUUGCUAUUUUUAGUACUCCAUAUGAUAGUAGUAACUAUUGGCGUGUAAUUUCUAUUAUUUUAAUUUAAUAUUUAUUUACCUUUAAAUUUAUAACUUAGGAUAACAAAUAAAAUUGUGUUUAACGUUCAAGAUUAUACGGAUUAUUAAAACGAGACAAUAUUUUACUGAUGCUUUAUGACUUGUGAUAAAAAUAAUCGAAAUAAUUAAUUAAAAUAACAGUGAGUUGUAAAGCAAAAUAAGCAAAAGUAAAUAUUAUUGAGUUAUCUCAAGCGAAAUCAUUAUGAAGAAAGUAAAAGUGCAUACAAUAUUUGUGAUUAAAAUCAGAUAUCUUGUCAGUGAGGAAAAGAGGAGGAGGGAACCUAAAUAAGCCACAAAAAUAUAAAAGUGACCAAAAUAAGCCACUACUUUAGGAAGUAACUAAAAUAGGCUUAAUGGAAGAAAAAAUUUCACUUUAUCUAAUAUUCUAAACGUUUUCUGUUAGUCUCAUAACGUGUAUAUUUUAAUAUAUAACGGAAUUAUUUCCUACACUUUAUAAAAUGGAACUAUUUCUUACACUUUAUAAAGUGUAAGUUUUUCUUACACUUUGUAAAGUGGAACUUUUUCUUACACUUUAUAAAGUGGAANNNNNNNNNNNNNNNNNNNNNNNNNNNNNNNNNNNNNNNNNNNNNNNNNNNNNNNNNNNNNNNNNNNNNNNNNNNNNNNNNNNNNNNNNNNNNNNNNNNNNNNNNNNNNNNNNNNNNNNNNNNNNNNNNNNNNNNNNNNNNNNNNNNNNNNNNNNNNNNNNNNNNNNNNNNNNNNNNNNNNNNNNNNNNNNNNNNNNNNNNNNNNNNNNNUUAUUCUGAAAAAUCCUCCAAUCUCUAUUUAAGGAGGACGUUCAAACAUAGUUAAUAGCACCUACAACAUAAAGUCUUCUAUAUUUGUUCAUUUCAAUCACAAAAAAAAUGUCUUCUAAACCAAAAGUUAGAGUUUCGAUUUAUUGGGAUGGCGAAAUUAUACAUGACGGAAAUAUCGUUUAUUAUAAUUAUCCUCCCAAACACAAUUCUAAAUAUUCAAUUAAUGUCCGAUAUCAUAAAUUUCUUUCAUCAAUUUAUAAAAGAAUGAGUAUAAAUAGGACUGUUUAUAAUUUGAAUAUAGUCGAAAAAUACCCUACUUCAUUUUUAUCACAAGGACAAGUAAAUUUUGGAGAGUGGAUUAUCUAUAAUGACGAAUCGUGACCGACUUUUUGAGGGUUCCAGAUGACUACAUAGAUCAAAUCAAGUUAACAAUACUUGAAAUCUAUGUUAGGAAGGAGCCUAAGACUAGUCAACAACGUUCUCCUUUAUCGAUCGAUGUUCAUCCUCGAUUAGAAAAUCAUAAUAGCGUUGAUGGAUUUCCGAUAACUCAAUCUACUGAUUUUNNNNNNNNNNNNNNNNNNNNNNNNNNNNNNNNNNNNNNNNNNNNNNNNNNNNNNNNNNNNNNNNNNNNNNNNNNNNNNNNNNNNNNNNNNNNNNNNNNNNNNNNNNNNNNNNNNNNNNNNNNNNNNNNNNNNNNNNNNNNNNNNNNNNNNNNNNNNNNNNNNNNNNNNNNNNNNNNNNNNNNNNNNNNNNNNNNNNNNNNNNNNNNNNNNNNNNNNNNNNNNNNNNNNNNNNNNNNNNNNNNNNNNNNNNNNNNNNNNNNNNNNNNNNNNNNNNNNNNNNNNNNNNNNNNNNNNNNNNNNNNNNNNNNNNNNNNNNNNNNNNNNNNNNNNNNNNNNNNNNNNNNNNNNNNNNNNNNNNNNNNNNNNNNNNNNNNNNNNNNNNNNNNNNNNNNNNNNNNNNNNNNNNNNNNNNNNNNNNNNNNNNNNNNNNNNNNNNNNNNNNNNNNNNNNNNNNNNNNNNNNNNNNNNNNNNNNNNNNNNNNNNNNNNNNNNNNNNNNNNNNNNNNNNNNNNNNNNNNNNNNNNNNNNNNNNNNNNNNNNNNNNNNNNNNNNNNNNNNNNNNNNNNNNNNNNNNNNNNNNNNNNNNNNNNNNNNNNNNNNNNNNNNNNNNNNNNNNNNNNNNNNNNNNNNNNNNNNNNNNNNNNNNNNNNNNNNNNNNNNNNNNNNNNNNNNNNNNNNNNNNNNNNNNNNNCUAUCUUGGUCGCAAGCGUGCUUUUGAAAAAGUCUAUGGUACUUGGGAGGGUUCUUUUGCCGAGUUGCCGAGGUUCAUGGAAGCUUUGAAACACUUCAAUCCCGGAACAAUAGUUGAAUGGAAAACAGAGCGGCGUGUCGAUGUCAUUGAAGAUGUAUUCAACUAUGUGUUCUGGACUUUUAAAUCAUGCAUUGAUGGGUUUGUGUUUUGUCGUCCUGUUAUAUCGAUCGACGGAACACAUGUCUAUGGAAAAUAUGAUAUCAAGUUGUUGAUUGCGAUUGCAACGACUCAAUAUUACCUUUGUCAUUUGCAAUAGUUGCGAAUGAGAGCAUGGAGACAUGAAGUUUAUUUUUGGAUAAUUUACACUUGCACGUUGUCAAGGGUCGUAGAGAUGUAGCAUUGAUUUCAGAUAGGCAUUACGAAAUACUCUCAUCCGUGUAUAAUUCUCCCAAUUGGCAGGCCCCAUUUGGGAUCCAUCGCUUUUGCUUAAGACAUUUAAAGGCCAAUUUUCAAAAAAAAUCAAAAAUGUUACUUUGAACAACCUUUUGUGGGCAGCUGCAAAUCAUUGUCAGGAGAAAAAGUUUUUGAAAAAAAUGGAAAUGAUCAAAGAGAUUAACCCGGAAGCGUAUGUGUGAUUAAUGAAGAACGAUCUUGUCAAAUGGACAUUGCACAGGGAUGGAGGUAGGAGAUGGGGAAUGCUGACAACAAAUAGUUCUAAGUCAUUCAAUGGUCUUCUUAAGUCAGCCAGGGGCCUGUCAGUUACUGCAAUGGUAAGACUCACUUACAAUCAGAUUGUGAACCGAUUUGUUACAAGAUCAAAAUUUGUCAAUCAGCUAGUACAACAAAAGCAACAAUGGAUGCCUAAACCAUUCAAGAUUUUUGAGGAUAAUCGAAAAAAGUCACAGCGUCACACACUUAUCAACUAUCACCAACAAAGGGAAAACAUAUUUGAGGUGCAGACACAUAUGCAUCAUGGCUGUGGUGGUAAUAAGCACAUUGUAAAUGCAUCACAAGGAAAAUGUCAAUGUGGUAAAUGGCAAUCAUACCACAUUCCGUGUUCUCAUGCAAUAAAGGGAUUUGACCAAAUUGGGUAUCAAGCAUGGGAGCAUAUGGCACCAGAAUUCUGCGUGCAUAGCUACAAAAAAGCCUACUCUGACAAUUCAAUCCACUCGGCGGUGAAAAGUAUUGGCCUAAUAGCCCUUUUCUUAUGAUAGCAAAUAAAAAUAUUUACAAAAAGUGGGCGUAAAUAAAAUCACCCGUAUACAUAAUGAAAUGGAUGUUCCCGCAAGUACACUCACUCGCAAGUGCUCAACGUGCAAACAAAUAGGCCAUGAUAGGUGCAACUGUCCUUCACGAGCUCGAAACGCCUCAUAUGGUGGUAGUAGCUAAACAAAGAUGUUUAACUUUGUUAAUUUAUUCUUGUAUCAAUUUCUAUGCAACUUUUUAUUCGUAUUUUGUAUCAUUCUCUAGUCAUGUUUAUAUUUUCAAUUUAUUUCAUUCACCUUUUUAAAAAAAAUUACAUACACAAAAUAAUAACUAUAUAUAAUUAAAAUAAUAAUACUAUUCACCCUCAAAAAAAAUACAUACACAAAAAUAAUAACNNNNNNNNNNNNNNNNNNNNNNNNNNNNNNNNNNNNNNNNNNNNNNNNNNNNNNNNNNNNNNNNNNNNNNNNNNNNNNNNNNNNNNNNNNNNNNNNNNNNNNNNNNNNNNNNNNNNNNNNNNNNNNNNNNNNNNNNNNNNNNNNNNNNNNNNNNNNNNNNNNNNNNNNNNNNNNNNNNNNNNNNNNNNNNNNNNNNNNNNNNNNNNNNNNNNNNNNNNNNNNNNNNNNNNNNNNNNNNNNNNNNNNNNNNAACGACAGUGGUGGCAAAGUGGUCUGCAAAUAGAAAGUUAGAUAGUAGAAAUUGAAAAUUAAUUGACAAAAUAAGAAAUCCAUCUUUAAAGGGAUCCAACAAUACAACAAUAAAUCCAAGCACACCAACUCUAUAUAUUCGUAUGCUUCAUUCUCUAUACAGUCUUGACCUACGUAAGAUCUCCUCAACACGUCCAUGAGGUCGAUGCAAACGAAAUAAAUUCCAAGCAUCAUUCAUGUGCACCGUCCUCAUAAGGCUACUAAAUGAUAUCUCACCUUUCCAUAACAAUUCUGAUUUAUGCUCAUGCUGAGAGAGAAGAAGUGUACGAUCAAUUGGUCCAGGAUUCACAACAUGCUCCAUUAUAUUCUAUAAGAAAAAUUCUAUUAAUUCAUUUAAUAUAAUUAUAUCUUGAAAAAUUAAACCGUGAACUAUCUUCAAACGAAUAAUUGUAUGAGAACUAAAGAAUCUCUAACUUCAGCAAGUCAAUUAAAUAUGUUAUUUGUCGAGUCAACCACAAGAAAAAAAAUAGAAAAAAAAAAGAUACUGUGAGCACUUUUUUUUUUAUAGAGAAUAACUUUUCACAUCCUUGUCAAGAAAUAAGCUAGAAUAGUAGUUGUGAAAGCUAUAGUGUAUUAACUACAUGCUGCUGCUGCUUUUGGCUUGAAAUGAGUAAUGUUCUAACAGCAAUUUUGGUGGCUUAUGGCUUAAAGUUAUUUUGCUUUGAAAUUUGACAAUUUAUAAGUUUCAUUAUGUUCAUUACAUGUGCUUUCAAUUUGAGACUUGAUAGUGAUGGUAAAGAUGACCUCCAAGAAUAUCAUUAACGAUGGAAUAGAUGUGGGAUUUUUUACAAAGUCAACUAACACUGAUAUAAUUUUUACUCAUAUCUCAUAGACUCAAACUAUUAUUGUGCUAUUAUUUGGGGGGGAAUUCAAACAAAUUGUACUUUAUUUUAUAUGAGAUGACUUUCACCAUUAUCUUGUAUUUGAAGUGAUGUCUAGGAUGACUCAUGAACUAGUGAAUGCAUAUUGCAAUUCAUCGAACCAACGUAGGUAUGAUAAAUUGAUCAAUUCAUUUUAGUGAUUUCUUAUUUUCAACCUUAGUUUUGUCUCUGUUUUUUUGCCAUUACUUUGUGAUUGGAACUUCUUAUUGCACUAUCUCUUUAGGUUUCCCUUUCAUUCAGUAAUGUGUGAAGGGACCAAGAUGAUAUCUUCAAUCUAUUAUUGGGUUAGGUCCAUUAGUCCUUUAAGUUGUUCUACUCUUUUUUUUUGUUUUCCACUUCCUCUUAUUCAAUUGCAUAUUAGAUUUGUCUGUUAUGGCUCUUUCGAAAGUUGAUUACAUAGACAAUUUUUAUUUCCAUCUCAUAUUUUUUUAUGUUUCUUUUUUGGAUGUGAUUUUGAUUUUGAAGCUUCCUCCACUUUUGACGUUUCCUACAACUAAUGUGGCAUUUGGAGGUAUGGUCUUAACUAAGUCUUUAUGAUGAAUGCACAACUGACCAAGUUUUUACUUUAUAUUUUUGUAUUGGUGUGAAUGCUCUUGUAUAAAAUACUUAUAUUCCAUCUUCCCUCUUUUUUCAUUCCACAACUCUUGAUAUCUAAAGUUUCUAUUAUAAUUCAAUUUUAAUUAUACUAUAAAAUCACAUUCUAACUCCAUGAGGUAGGUGUAAUAUCUACGUAUAUUCUACCCUCCCUAGACCUCAGCUGUCAUUCUAUUACUCUUGUUGUUUUUUUAUAAAAUCACAUUCUAAGAAAUUCAUUCAUCAGUUGAAUAUAUAAAACAUAUCCCUGUGUUCUCAUUAGCUGAAUAUCUAAAACUUAUCCUUGUAUAAUGUGUUAAAUUUUUCCUAAUUCAAGGUUUUUGUCGAAUCUUAAUUCUCAUAUGUCUUUCUAUGCAAGACUGCUCUGAACCUACUGUUGCCAAAUUAGGACAAGAUCUUAAACCUGUUAUGGUUUAUGGGUGAGUAUUCCCUUGCUUAAGUCAUUGUGUAUUUGCUUUAAGUAUUCUCAAUUGUAUACCAAUCUCGAACUUAUUAGUUCUGUUUAAUCACCUUAUUUUUAGGUAUUUACCAUUAUAGUUUAUGCUUAGCAUAAGAAAAUCUUAUUGCAUGAUUGCAUAAUGAUCCAAAAGUUGGCAAUAUUGGUUUGUAAUUAUUUAACUAUAUUCUCCACUUAGCAAAAUUACUCUUUUUAUUGUCUAUAAGCUUUUUUCUCUCCCCGUCCCCUAUUUCUUUUUCCGUAACUUGAUCUAUUUUGGUCUAGUUAACAUAUAUUUGUACCUGAAGUACAUCAGCAAAAGUUCCUAUAACAGAUUUUUAUUUUAGGGGAUUAGAAACGUAAAUGUCUAAUACUUUUGGUAGUAUAAUUUGUAGCAAAUGAGUAAUGAAGCUAAGUUCCAACUUAUUUCUAAUCUAUUAUACUUUUGAAAUUUUGAACAAACAUCAUUUUAAAGUAAUGAAAAUAUGAGAUGAAAAAAAAUACCUAAUUUAUAUAAUUUGUAGGGUCGGAUUGUUAUGUUGUCGGGUUGUGCUACUCCAAUCUUUCAAGAUUUUGAUUUUGUAGUGUAGGGCCGCUUCAGUUGUCGGAUUGGGACCAUCAACUGUUAAUCUUCAUUCUGAAAAAAGUUUGGAAGCCAUGAAAGUGAAAGGGGAGAAGAAGAAAGUGAAAAGGUAAAUUCUGAAAAAAGUUUGGANNNNNNNNNNNNNNNNNNNNNNNNNNNNNNNNNNNNNNNNNNNNNNNNNNNNNNNNNNNNNNNNNNNNNNNNNNNNNNNNNNNNNNNNNNNNNNNNNNNNNNNNNNNNNNNNNUUCUUCCACUUUAUAAAGUGUAAGAAAAAGUUCCACUUUACAAAGUGUAAGAAAAAAUUACACUUUAUAAAGUGUAAGAAGUAGUUUCAUUUUAUAAAGUGUAGGAAAUAGUUCCGUUAUAUAUUAAAAUAUACACGUUAUGAAACUAACGGAAAACAUUUAGAAUAUUAGAUAAAGUGGAAUUUUUUCUUCCACUAAGCCUAUUUUAGUUACUUCCUAAAGUAGUGGCUUAUUUUGGUCACUUUUAUGUUUUUGUGGCUUAUUUAGGUUCCCAGCUCGGAAAAGAGGUACAUUAAUAACCUAAUCUUAUAUACCAUUUGGCAUGAAUUGAAUUCCUCAUAAUGAUCAUGAUCAACACAUUGAAGUUGUUAUAUACCAUUUGGCGGACCCACGAAAGGUUUCAGAUACUCGAACACCCAUUAAUCUCGUAUCGAACUAAUUAUAUUUUUUUUAUAGAAAUUUGAACGAAUGGUAUAAAAGUAAAUAGUGAGCACCUAGGCAACAAGCAGUUGCUUGGUGUAGUGGUCGCUUGUGGGUACUUAAAAUUGUAUAUCGUAUCUGUUGUGGCCAGAUUUGAUUCCACUAUGGUACUUUUACUUAAAAUUGUAUAUUGUAUCUGUUGUGUCUAAGUUUGAUUCCACUAUGAUAUUUUUAAAAAUUUUAAAUACCAACUCUUCUUGGUACAGCCACUUAAAAUCCUGAAUUCGCCACUGCAAAACCUUUUAUUCUAAAAAAUAAAAGCUUAUUAAAACAUAACAGUUAACUCUUAUACAAAUUUUAAUUCAUGUGCAGGCCUUUGAAGCUAAAAUUGAGAAACAAGGAUAUAAAAGCUUUCCCAGUGGACAUAUAUACUUCAUGUUAGUAGUUUUCAUUUGUUCUUCAAUUUUGUUGUUUUUCUACUUGUUUAUAAGUUUACAACUUGUCAAAAUAUAGGGCAUUUGCUGGAAAAGUGAAGGCUUUUGACACAAGAGGCCAUGCUACAAAACUAUGUAUUAUUUUGUUCUGCUUCCUUUACUAUUUGCUUCAUUAGUUGGAAUUUCUCAAAUUGAUAUAGGCUUAAGUCUCCAACGAGAGUACACGAGGGAACCCUCAUUAUCCAAGCAUGAACAAUAAUGCAAGAUGUUGAAGUUGUUGGAGAUGGAAGGAGAUAUUGAAUUCGAAUCUCCAUAGCCUCGUCGAAUGAGAAAACGUAACAUCUAUACCUUUGUAUGUUGAACUUAACACGAUGGAAAGCUUAGUAAUCAACACAGAAAUAACAGGGAAGGAAAGGAAGAAACAAAAACUGAAAAUAGUUUGCAGGGAAAAGUUGCAUACUUUAUUCAAUAUGUUGAGAAGUUAAUAUAGGCUUAUAGAAUUUUAGGAAUCCUAACCCCACUAAAUAACUACUUAAUUUUAGUAAACCAAUUUCCCUAAACUCUAGGAAAAGAAAUUUGCAAUACUACAAACUAGGAAAAGCAUUACGUGCUAACAAAAUAACAAAGUAACAACUAACUAGAAUAUAGCUACUGCCAAGACUUAGUCAGACUAGAAAAAAUAGGCUGAUGUUGAGCGAUUUUAACACCUCCUCUCGACAUCAGCUGUCAUCUUAGCCAUGCCUAGUUGCUAACAUAAACUUUCAAACUUAUUGACACUUAAGCCUUUUGUGAACAAGUCUGUAAUUUGUUUCUCUGUGUUAAUAUGCUCCAGGUUAAUCUCUCCUUGUAACACCUUUUCUAUGAUGAAAUGGUAAUGUAUUUCCACAUGCUUCGUCCUUGCAUGAAAAAUAGGAUUUUCAGCCAAAUUAAUCACUGACUGAUUGUCACAGUACAAAGAAACUGCAUAGCCAACUAGUUGAUGUAAAUCCUUCAUCAACCGCAUAAGCCAUAUACUUUCUUGAGCUGCAACUACUACUUUAUCGAUACUCUGCUUCUGUUUUUGAUAGCAACAUUGUUGGCUGCCUUUUGUUGCACCAAGAAAUUGCUCCAGCUCCAAGCUUAAACAUGAAGCCAGUAGUUGAAUGACGAGUGUCAUGGUCUCCUGCAUAGUCCGAGUCACAGUAACCAACCAACUUGCAUUCUUCACCUUUCUUAUACACGAGGCUAUAACGAAUUGUACUUUUCACAUAUCUUAGAAUUCGAUGAACAACCUCCAUAUGACACUUCUUUGGCUUGUGCAUGUAGCGACUCAUCACACCAAUUGCAAAAGAAAUAUCAGGCCUAGUCUGAGUUAGAUAAAUCAGACUACCUACCAGUUGUCGAUACAUCGUCACAUCUUCUAAAUCUUUUCCUUCAUGUGCACACAUCACAUGUCGUGAUGUAUAACACCUUCCAGUUGUAGGGUCACUACAUUUCCACCCUUUUCUUUGAUUAUCAUAGCCUAUAAAAAUACAUUUAACAGCUUUCUUGUCCAAUUUUCUACGUAAUUGAUCAGCUAUAAAAACAUAGCAUACACAUCCAAAUACUCACAAAUAACUGACAUUAGCUUUCAUAUUCCACAACUUCUCAAAAGGUGAAAGAAAACCUAACCUUUGUUGAGGAAGUCUGCUGAUGACAUAUGACACAUUCCUCAUUGCUUCUGCCCAAAAUCUUCCUGGGACAUUCUCGGCAUGUAACAUAGUGCGGCAUAUUUCUGCUAAAUUCCUAUUCUUCCUCUCCGCAAUGCCAUUUUGUUGUGGUGUGUAGGCACAAGUAUAUUGAUGGUGAAUUCCUCAUUCCCUUAGGUAUUGAGAAAACUUAACUGAGCAGUAUUCCCCUCAGUUAUCUGUUCUUAAACAACAAAUUUUCUUUCCCAGUUCUCCCUUAACUGUUUCCUUAAACUCUUUAAACUUAGAAAAAGAAUCAGAUUUUUCUUUCAUAAAGAAAACCCAAACAUACCUAGAGAAAUCAUCAAUAAAGGUCACCAUGUACUUCAUUCCACCAAUUCAUGAUUGCUUGACAGGUCCAAACACAUCAGAAUGAAUUAAUUGUAGUGAUUCAUAGUCUUUAAAUUUGGACUCUACAAACGGCAACUGGUGAGCUUUACCGAAUUGGCAUCCUGAACAGACGAUGUCUGCUCUUACUUCAAGUUGAGGAAAACCCUUGAUCAUUAACUUCUUCAACAUAACACUUAGCUUGGAAUAACUCACAUGACCCAAUCUCAUAUGCCACAAAUCAGUUGUCUCAUUAUUUGUUGUCUUUUCUACAUAUGCAAACUCUACAUACAUCACAUAAAUGGACUCUAAUCUACGCCCUUUCGUAAUUGGAUUUUCUAAGUUCUUGAGAUCUUGAUAAAUCCUCACAUCAUCAGGACCAAACAAGACAUAGUUUCUAGAUGUUGUUAAUUGCGACACUGAAAGCAAGUGUUUCCUCAUACCUGGAACAUGAUAGACAUUCUGAAGUGGUAUUUGAUUGAUCCCUUGUUGAAGAGAGACUGGUGUUUUACCAAUAUGAACUAUCAGUAACCUUGAAUUAUGUAACACCUCAGAAAUGAGUAGGUUGAAUUAGAGCCUAAACGUGAGGGUUAACGUCAAGGUAUGUGCUAGACCCCGGAGUUUAGAAGACCUUUUACGGGUUGGUUGAGAGUUGCAAGGUCGAGUGCCAAACCAAAAAGGGGCAAGCCUAAGCCAAAAGCCAAGGCUGCCCCAAGCUUGGCCAAGCACUGCCCAAGGACCACGACCACCUUCACAAACAGUGGUCUUGACCAUGGUCCGUGAAGGGGCUCGUGAAGGUCCCUUAGGCAUGUGGGAAGCAAGGCCUUGAGGCCUAGCCACUGCCUAGGAACCACGACUCGUGGUCUUGACCACGGAUCGUGGAAGGUCUUGUGGUCUUGCCUUGGCAUUGUGGAGGCCAAGGCCCCAAGCCAUAGCUACUGCCUAGGAACCACGACCUCCAUCACGACUUGUGGUCUUGACUACGGAUCGUGGAGGGUCUCGUGAUCUUGCCUUAGGAUCAUGAAGUCUUGCCAAGUUGAGGAGGGUCACUGGUCAAGGGACCACGGGCACCACCACGAGCCGUGGUGCCCUUGACGAGCUGUGAAAGAGGGCGUGGUCCCUGGGACGGGCAGCCUAGUUGAGGGUCAUUUCAUAAUUUCCAAAUCAAUUAGUUAAUUAAUGGGGUCAUUUUUAAUUGUUUUAUUUCACAUAAAUAAAUGGUUUUAAGUCAUUAAACACCUAUUUUACUCCAUUAUUCUGAAAUACCCAAAUCAAAACCCCAAAGUUCUUCCCUCUCAAUAUUUCUCUCUCUAGAAACCUCCGUUUAAGAAGAAGAAGAAGGAGUGGAAGCUAGGGCUUGAAGAACCAAAGUGUUUCUUCUCAAAUUUUGAGGAAAUAUCCAUUAAGAUAUGGUAGUUUUCAUCCUUGGUUUGUUUCCACCCAAGUAGACCCUUCAAAAGAUGAUUUCAAGUUUCCAAAAUCCCCCAAAAUACCUAGUGUUUUCAAUCCAAGCAUGGGUUCAAUUCCAAAAUGUUUUCAAAGGUUUAUAUGUGAUGAAUUAUUAAUAAAUUGCUGAAUUAAUGAUGAAUUCUCCUAUGAACCCAUGUUUCCCCCAAAAUACUAAAUUGGAAGCUUGUGAUUUGGGUUAAUUCAUUAUGGGAUCAUGUUGAAUUGUUAUGUCUAUGUUGAAUUAGUUAUUGAAUCAUGAUAUUUCCCUUAUAUAAUGUAUAUUCUAGAUGUUUAGGUUUAGAUUGAUUCAUAGCCUUGAAGGGCAAAGUAUGAAGGAUAUGUAUGAUUCUGAUGUGAAGUAUAUGCAUAUGAUUACAAUAAAAGUAUUAUGAUCAUGCCUAGAAUGAAAUUGUGUUAUUAUUGAAAGGUUAUUCUCAAUUUGACACUUAUGAAUGAUGAUGAUAGAAUGUGAAAGGUUUCUUCAAGUAAUGUUGAUUAAUGCAUCUUGAAUUGGUAGGCUUAGGUAUCAUUUUCUUAUGUUGCUAAUGUAUCUUGACUUAAUGAACCUUGAAUCGGUAGACCUAAUGUUGGUGUCCCUUUCAUGAGGAGUCUAUAAAUGAAUGAAUAAAUGAAUGAUAAACCAUGAAUUGGUAGACCUAAUGGUAGUGGCCCUUUCAUGUGUGAAAUGAUGAACCUUGAACUGGUAAACCUAAUAGUGGUGGCCCUUUCUUGAAGAUCCAAUGAGCUCUCAUUGUAAUGUACCUUGAAUCGGUAGACCUAAUGGUGGUGGCUAUUUAAUGUGUAAAUGUACCUUGAGUCGGUAGACGUAAUGGUAGUAGCCCUCUUAAGUAUAAUAAUGUUAACGAAAAUGAACUACUCUAUGGGAAUGGAGGCUAAGUACUGAGGGGCCGUUUGGUUACUGGUUAGAGUUAUGCAGGUAUUAGUUAUACAGGGUUUAGUUAUGCAGGUAUUAAUUAUGCAGGGUUUAGUUAUGCAGGUAUUAGUUAUGCAGGGUUUAAUUAUGCGGGUAUUAGCUAUGUGGAUAUUAGUUAUGUAGGUAUUAUUUAGUUAUGUAGAGAUUACAAUACAUGAAUUAUUAACUAUUAUAUUAAACUUGUAGUAAAUUAUUAAUAUAUAUUAUUUACAAAAUAAUAAUACAUGUUAAUAAAAUGUGGAAUAUAUUGAAUAAUAUACAAUGCUAAUAUUUUUAUUUUUUUAAUCAACAUUGGACAAUGUCCAUUUAUUCAUCAAAUAAAAAUUGUGUCCAAACAAGGUCCAAGAGUGACCAAGUCGGUCAACAAAAUAGACAAAACAAAAACAACUAGAAAUAAUCUAAUUUGGAAACAAAAAAAUCCUAAACUGAUAGAACAACUCCAGCAUAAUGCUAAUAUUUGAUUAGCAUAUGUACCGUCAAAAAAUAUACAAUCAAAUCUCUAAUAUUAAAAAAAUAUUUAUAUUUGCAUAAAUAANNNNNNNNNNNNNNNNNNNNNNNNNNNNNNNNNNNNNNNNNNNNNNNNNNNNNNNNNNNNNNNNNNNNNNNNNNNNNNNNNNNNNNNNNNNNNAAACAGUAAAGUUUCCAAUUAAAAAAUAAAAUAAAAAUUAAUAGGGUAAAUAUGUAAUCUAUCAUUUUAAUACAUGUAUAACUAAUACCCACAUAACUUAUUCCACCUUCUACCCUGCAUAACUUUAUACAUAGAUUCCCUCAUAAGUUAUGUUGGUAUUAAUUAUGUAGGACUAUAAAAAUGCAACCAAACACCGUAUAAAUUAAUACAUGAAUAACUUUUAUACAACAUUUAAAUUCUUACCAACCAAACGUGGUAUAAGUUAUGCUGACUUUUAUACCUAAUACAAAACUUCUACCAAACACAGUAAAGCUAAUGCAACUUUUUAUACAUGAAUAAAAUGUCUCUUAUACAGUAACCAAACGACCCCUGAGAGGAUAUGGUAAGAUGGAAGCUCUCCCUACCUUAGGCUGGGUUUUAAUGAACAUCUUUCUUAUCCCAUAACUAUGUGCCCGCAUAGGAUAUUAGCUAGUGGAUCCACCUAAGCUAAAAUGUUACCGGUUAUACCCUAGGCAAGUAGACCACCUCUUUACGGUGUGGGGAUAUGACACCAGAUUCCAUGGUUUGUUGUCAUGGUCUAAAACGGUUAAUGCUUAUUCCCAUCAUGUGAGAUACGUGCUAUAAUUACUUGAGAGGUUCUAUGAAGUGUGGGUGGUAGUAUGGGAUGUCAUUCAUGCAUUGCACGAGUAGUCUUUGAGUGGUCUAUGGUGUGAUUAUCCAAUGUUUUAAGGUCUAAUGAAAGAAAGUGCUCUUAAUGAAGCUAAUGAAGAAUAUUGGCAUAUAUGCUUAAUGUGAUGAUGCAUGUUUUACUUGGAUUGUAUUAUGAGUUACUUUCCUUCUCAUGACUUAUGAAAUGUAUGUGUUCCUUAUGCAUGAUUAUUGAUUGAAGAUGACUAAUGAAGAAUGGUAAGUUCAUCUAAAGUGACCUCAAAGUGGUACUUGGUGGGAAUAGUAGUAUGGGAUGCUAUUCUCACAUUGCACGAGUAUAACUUAGGGUUGCUUGAGGUGAAUUUUCUAAUGUGAAGAAAUGACUUUAUGAUGAUUAUGCUAGUAUAUUAUGCAACUUAUACUUAUGGUAAUGACAUUUCUCAAAAUUGUCAUUUAGCAUGAUUUACAAAUAAAAUGUCUUUUUAAACAUGGUUUUUGCAUGGCUAUCAUACUUAGUACAUUUUUGUGUGCUAACCCAUAUUUCUCCAAUUUUUCUACAAAGUGUAGGUUCCGCAAUUGAGUUGAUUUCUCCAGUUCAAGCUUGAGUUAACUAUUCAUCAAGUUUGUGGUAUGUCCUCAUGGAUCCGAGGACAAAUGCUUUAUUGUCAUUUCAUUUCUUCAUUGUACUAGACAUUUAUUAUAUUUUCUAUUGUAAGGGUUGUGACCCUAGUUUUGACUCAAGAUGCUUUUAGAUGGCCAUGUGAGACUAGUAGACUUCCGUUGUUUUAAAUCAUAAUUCGAUUGUAUGGAUUUAAAGAAAAAUUUUAAAUUCCGCACUAUUUCAUAUGUCUUAUGUUAUAAAUGCUAUGAGGCUUUUCGGAGUUUUGUACAUCAUGUCACAUCCGGGGCGUAGGCUCGGGUCAUUACAAACAUGGUAUGAGAGCACAAGAUUUUAGGAUUGUUUUUAGGAUUGAUGUCUCACAAGCCACGUCGAGUAGAGUCUUGUUCAUGAGUGUGAAUCGCGACACAUUUAUGAAUGAGAGGCUAUAAGACAUUAGGAAACUUCACUUCUUUCAUUACUCUUUAGUAGUGCCUUAGAGUUUUGACUCUAUGAAUGUCCUUUUCUUAACCCUUCUCUUGUGUUUAUAGGAUAUAAAUACAAGAAGGGUGAACGCAAGAAAGAUGGAAGAGGAAAAUGUCAAUGAAGGAGUUCCUCCCCAAGGUCCCCAAGUUCCUCAAGGCAUCCAAGUUCCUAUUGAUCCUCCGACUAUGACAAAUAAGGAAGUUAGGUUGGCUCUUUUGAUGAUGGCUCAAGCCGUAACUACUCAAUCCCAAGCUAUGACGGCCCAAGCUAAUAGGGGUGUUGAAACUCAUGUGAAUCCUAUUGUGAGCACUAUGGCUUCUAGGUUGAGGGACUUUGUGAGGAUGAACCCUCCGAUGUUUCUAGGUUCCAAGGUGGGAGAGGAUCCCCAAGAGUUUUUGGAUGAGGUGUAUAAGGUAGUUAAUGCUAUGGGGCUGACUUCUAUAAAAAAAAAAACGGAACUAGCCGCUUAUCAAUUGAAGGAUGUUUCCCAAGUUUGGUUCACUCAAUGGAAGAGUAAUAGGCUCGGGCCUAUAGAUUGGAAAGUGUUCAAUGAUGUAUUGCUUGGUAGGUUCUUUCCCUGUGAGAAGAGGGAAACUAAGGUGGAUGAGUUUAUCAAUCUUAGGCAAGGUAACAUGAAUGAUCAAGAGUAUUCUUCGAAAUUUACCCCUUUGUCUAAGAAUGCUCCAUCUUUGGUGUCUAACCCGAGGGAUGAGAUGAGUAGAUAUAUAACGGGAGUUUCCGACCUAGUUGAGGAAGAGUGUCGUACGACAAUGCUCCAUGAAGACAUGAACAUCUCUAGACUUAUGGUAUAUGCUCAAUCGAUUAAGGAGUCCAAACUUAAAAGGAAGAAUAGGGAGAUGAAGAGAGUGAGAUCCAAUGGUCAAGGUCAACCAAGGUUCAAAAAGAGAGAUCCAAACCAAGAUUCUUCAAGCACUCCUAGGGUUAACCAAGAUAAAGGUGGGGGACCUCCAUUUUCUAAAUCUACUUGCCACAAUUGUGGAAAGAAGCAUCAUGGGAAGUGUCUAGCCGGUACAAAUGGGUGUUAUGGUUGUGAGAAAAUUGAUCAUCAAGUGAAAGAUUUAAUCUUCAGGCCAAGGGAAGAGAGGCCAAUCAAGUUUCUCUUAAUGGCCCGGAUCCUAAUGCUCCAAAGAAUAGUCGUUUCUAUGCACUUCGGGUUAGAGAGGACAAAGGAGUCCUUCUGGAUGAAGGGACCGGUAUGUUGAUAGUUCCUUAAAGUUGUAAAUGUUUUAAUUGAGGUCCCUAUGCUAUUUUUAUGUUAGUCUUAGUGUGGGUUUACUCCCAAGGGAGAGAUGGUAUGUUGGGAUAGUAAGGUUGUUGAGAGUUUCGAUAUCCUUAUCACUUUCUUCUAUUCCUAUUCAAGCUUGAGACCUAGAGUUUCCAGUUUCAUGUUUUGGAGUCAUGUGUGAUUUAUGUGUUUCCAUGAUCUCCUUAUGUUAUGCAUGUUCUUGAUGAAUGUAUGUUUAAUGAGAAAUUGAGUUUUCAUGAUUUUUAUUCCUCAUGUUGAUGUGCAUCUAUAAUGAGUUGCCUAAAUGCUUCAUGAGUUGAAUUUGUUGAACAUACUUAAAUUUGUCUUUGAGAAGAGUUGCAUAAUUCGCUUAAUGAUGUUGUGAUGAGCAUAAUGUGAGUUGGAGAAGGAAAUUCUCCAAUGAAAUGAGAAAUGUUGAUGUUUUCGUGCAUAAUGAGUUUGUAGAAGUAGUUCCUACUUCCUUGUGUUUCAUUGAGCUUAUUGAUGUGGAGUUGAUGUUUCCUCCUAUGAUUUGUGCAUUUUAUUGAUGUGUCAUGCAUGAUGGGCAGCUAGUCUUGAGUUUAUAAUUCCGUAAGGUGUCUAAUAUGUCAUUCGAGGACGAAUGUUCCCAAGGGGGAGAUAAUGUAACACCUCAGAAAUGAGUAGGUUGAACUAGAGCCUAAACGUGAGGGUUAACGUAAAAGGUUAAGGGGUUUAGUGAUUAAACGUCAAGGUAUGUGCUAGACCCCGUAGUUUAGAAGACCUUCUAAGGUUUGGUUGAGGGUUGCAAGGUAGAGUGCCAAUCCAAAAAGGGGCAAGCCUAAGCCAAAGGCCAAGGUUGCCCCAAGCUUGGCCAAGCACUGCCCAAGGACCACGACCACCUUCACGACCAGUGGUCUUGACCACAGUCCGUGAAGGUCCCUUAGGCAUGUGGGAAGCAAGUCCUUGAGGCCUAGCCACUGCCUAGGAACCACGACCUUCAUCAUGACUCGUGGUCUUGACCACGGAUCGUGGGAGGUCACGUGGUGUUGCCUUGGCAUUGUGGAGGCCAAGGCCCCAAGCUAUAGCUACUGCCUAGGAACCACGACCUCCACCACGACUCGUGGUCUUGACCACAGAUCGUGGGAUGUCUCGUGGUCUUGCCUUAGGAUCAUGAAGGCUUGCCAAGUUGAGGAGGGUCACUGGUCAAGGGACCACGGGCACCACCACGAGCCGUGGUGCCCUUGAUGUGCCGUGAAAGAGGGCGUGGUCCCUGGGACGGGCAGCCUAGUUGAGGGUCAUUUGGUAAUUUCCAAAUCAAUUAGUUAAUUAAUAGGGCCAUUUUUAAUUGUUUUAUUUCACAUAUAUAAAUGGUUUUAAGUCUUUAAACACCUAUUUACACCAUUAUUUUCAAAUACCCAAAGUUCUUCCCUCUCAAUAUUUCUCUCUCUAGAAAUCUUCAUUGAAGAAGAAGAAGGAGUGGAGGCUAGGGCUUGAAGAACCAAAUUGUUUCUUCUCAAAUUUCAAGGAAAACUACAUUAAGGUAUGGUAGUUUUCAUCCUUGGUUAGUUUCCACCCAAGUAGCCCCUUCAAAAGAUGAUUUCAAGUUUCCAAAAUCCCCCAAAAAACCUAGGGUUUUCAAUCCAAGCAUGGGUUCAAUACCAAAACAUUUUCAAAGGUUUAUAUGUUAUGAAUUAUGAAUGAAUUGCUGAAUUAAUGAUGAAUUAUGAUGAAUUCUCCUAUGAACCCAUGUUUCCCCCAAAAUACUAAAUUGGAAGCUUGUGAUUUGGGUUGAUUGAUUAUGGGAUCAUGUUGAAUUUUUAUGUCUAUGUUGAAUUAGUUAUUGAAUCAUAAUAUUUCCCUUAUCAAAUGUAGUAUUCUAGACGUUUGGUUUUAGAUUGAUUCAUAGCCUUGAAGGGCAAAGUAUGUAGGAUAUAUGUAUGAUUAUGAUGUGAAGUAUAUGAAUGUGGUCACAAUGAAAGUAUUAUGAUCAUGCCUAGAAUGCAAUUGUGUUAUUGUUGAAAGGUUAUUCUCAAUUUGACACUUAUGAAUGAUGAUGAUAGAAUGUGAAAGGUUUCUUCAAGUAAUGUUGAUUGAUGCAUCUUGAAUUGGUAGGCUUAGGUAUCCUCUUAUUGUGUUGCUAAUGUAUCUUGACUUAAUGAACCUUGAAUCAGUAGACCUAAUGUCGGUGGCCCUUUCAUGAGGAGUCUAUAAAUGAAUGAAUGAAUGAAUGAAUGAUAAACCUUGAAUCGGUAGACCUAAUGGUGGUGGCCCUUUCAUGUGUGAAAUGAUGAACCUUGAACCGGUAGACCUAAUGGUGGUGGCCCUUUCUUGAGGAUUCAACGAGCUAUCCUUUAAUGUACCUUGAAUCGGUAGACCUAAUGGUGGUGGCCCUUUCAUGUUGUAAAUGUACCUUGAGUCGGUAGACCCAAUGGUGGUAGCCUCUUAAGUAUAAUAAUGUUAACGAAAAUGAACUACUCUAUGGGAAUGGAGGCUAAGUACCUAGAGGAUAUUGUUAUACCCCAUUUUAACUCGAGGUCAAAAUGUGUACAACAUUUUGGUGAUUUCCAAAUUAUUAACUAACUUGAGAAGUCGCCACCUAAUUAAUACGGUGAAUUAGGACACCUAAAUAUUUAACUAAGUAAUACUAAAAUUGACUUCAAUUAAGGUCUACUAAACCUAUGUGAUUCUAGGUAAAAAAUUUAAUUAUCCUAAAGGAAAGGGGUAAGGCAUCCUCAAAGAUCAGUUAAAAACUGUUAACCGGUCAAACUUAGGUUAAUUAAUUUUAAGAGAAAGAUAUUAAUGCUAAUGAUUAAGUUAUUGAAUAAUCAAAUUGGAAACAUUUUUUAAUUGUGAAAGCUCUUUUGUAAUUGUAAUAGAAUGAUAAAGAUUUAAGAAAAAGUAACUCGUGUAGGUAAAUUUAGACAAAUUUUGUAAUCCAAUGGCUAAAAGAAAGGUGAUUAAAAAAAAAGUAUUUGCUCUCAUUUAUUGACAAAGUGCCUCCUUUAGAAAAGUUUUUUUUUUUUUUUAGAAAAAUAGGAGUUUAGAACUUUUUUUUUUUUUUGGAAAUACAGAACCAAGUUUGAACAAACUUAAUAAAUUAGUGAGUUUGAAGUGGUGCAAAAAGAAGUGUUUUAAAAAAGUUUGUUCAUGAAGUUCAUAAAAGCUAAAGUAACUAUAAAGGUUUGUUUCUAACUAAAGGUACCCAAAUUCAAACAUCUAUAUUAAGUCAACUAUUAUGAAUCCAAACUAGAAAUAUCUAAAUCACACAAGUAAGUACAACAUGUAGAGAAAACACGUAAACAAAUAAUGCAAAAUGUAAGUAGCUAUAUGUGACUCCAAUAUAGGACCACUUGUUUUGCUUGCAAUUUCAAAUAGUCAAAGAUGUAGUGAAGAUUCCAUGUGCUCUUUUGUUAUCACUUCCGUUUCUAUUUGGAAGUAAUAUAAAAGACAAGAGCAGUAGAUGAGUGACAAUGAAGAGAAAGAUGUCAUCUUCGGGUAUAGCGAUGAUGAGGUUGAGUCUCAAAACGAGACUCUUUGUGCUCCAUUGCCAUGAAAAAAAAACAAAGAAACAAAAUAAAGGGAAUUAGAAGAAGAACAGAUUUAGCAAGUAAAAAUAUAAGAAGGACAAAAAAAUAAAUUCCUUAGCAUCACAUAUUAGAGAUGUAACUAGCUGCAAAGAGAAAACAUACGUGAAAACUUGAUACAAUUAACAAAUCAAAACUUGGAGAGGGCUAAAGGAAUCACUGUACAACUUAUUCUUUAGGAAUUUAAUCUAAAAUUAACUCAUAGUCUCUAAAGUAUUGUUUAAAGGUAUAUGCCAUGAUUUUUGUUUAGACAAAUGAUAUAUUUAUAUGGUACAGAUGAUGAACUUUCCAUAUAGAACAAACAUGUAUUUGGAAAGGUUAAACACAUUAUAUUUUUUAUCUUAGAUGUAAAUAUAAUAUGUAGAUUAACAGAAGGAAUUCUUGAGACAUAGCUGAAUAUUCACCCUUAAAAAAAAGGUUUCUGACGAUUUAAUUAGUUACGGGAUUUAAAAGAUGAACAACAUAUAAUGCAAAACAGUGAUUGAAACAAUGCUUAAUACGUCAAAAGUUUAAAGUUUAAUCGCAGAAAGUACUCGGUCUAUGUAUGAUUUUCGCUUAAAUCUAUUUGGACAGAAUGCAUAAUUUUACCAAAUGAAACAGAUUUUAAGAACAUUGUAUCAAAUAGUUUAAACAAACAAAUAAGAUACCAAUCCUAAAUCCCAUAUACAAGCAGACCUUAACAUUUGCUCCUAUAUACAAAGUUGAACACAUGAUUAUUGUCUUAAUGACGAACACUAAUAACGGCUUAAAGAAAAAGUGUUGUUCAUCUUGUAUUCCUAAGAUACUUAGAANNNNNNNNNNNNNNNNNNNNNNNNNNNNNNNNNNNNNNNNNNNNNNNNNNNNNNNNNNNNNNNNNNNNNNNNNNNNNNNNNNNNNNNNNNNNNNNNNNNNUUUUUUUUUUUUUUUUUUUCCGUCUUCAAACAGAAUUAAACAUAUUCUUUAUCAGGAAUGUUUUUAUUUUCAAUAGCCUUCCAACUAUAACAUUUUGACAUACUAUUUUAUCAAAUAAAAAUAUGCAUCUCUCAUUUUGCAAACUAAAGAAUUUUAAAGGCAACACUAUUUGCUAAGCAAAAUUCAUUCCACAACAAAUGGUUUGCAAAUCUUUUUUUUCAAAGAUACACAUGAUAAAAAAAAAUUCAAAAUUGUUAACUCUUAGAAACUAUUUUCCUUCUUAGAUAAAUAAUAAGAAGGUUACAUGGUGUAAUCUUUAUUCGGAAUAGCACCAAUUUUUUUCUGUACACUCUCACUUCGACCUUGCUAAACAAAGCACCAAAUUCUAGAGAAGUAAUGCAUUAAUCUUCUACUUCCAUGAUCUGUUUCUCUCAAUCAGUAGAAUACAAGAAAUACCAACAGUAUAAUAAUUUCCUUAAGAUUGUUGUUCAUCUUGUAUUCCUAAGAUACUUAGAACAAAACUUUGAAGAACUUGGUAAGAAACAACAGAGUUUAAAGAGUAUUUUCAAAACUAGGAAAUCAAAACUGGUAGAGAAAAUCAAAUCAGAAACAAAUUAGAAACAAUAUAAAAAUAUUUUUCUCAAAGAAAGAAAAUUAAGCCCACUGAAUGCACAGUGUCCCUUUAAGGGAAUUAUUCCCCUAAAGUACCCGAGGUUAAUGGAAUAUAUUUUCUUUUAAAAUGAGAGGAAAUCCCUCAAUUUAUAGAAAGCAGAGGGUAGUGUGAAAAGGUUCUUAUUGUGCCUUACCGGAAAGGUCACAAACCUUUGAAAAGUAACAAUCUUUCGGAAAGGUCACCACCUUUCAUAAAAGUCACAACUUUUCAUAAAAGUAGCAACUUUUGAUAAAAGUCACAACUUUUCAUAAAAGUAGCAACUUUUGAUAAAAGUCACAACUUUUCAUAAAAGUAGCAACUUUUGAUAAAAGUCACAACUUUUCAUAAAAGUAGCAACUUUUGAUAAAAGUCACAACUUUUCAUAAAAGUAGCAACUUUUGAUAAAAGUCACAACUUUUCAUAAAAGUAGCAACUUUUGAUAAAAGUCACAACUUUUCAUAAAAGUAGCAACUUUUGAUAAAAGUCACAACUUUUCAUAAAAGUAGCAACUUUUGAUAAAAGUCACAACUUUUCAUAAAAGUAGCAACUUUUGAUAAAAGUCACAACUUUUCAUAAAAGUCGCAACUUUUGAUAAAAGUCACAACUUUUCAUAAAAGUCGCAACUUUUGAUAAAAGUCACAACUUUUCAUAAAAGUCGCAACUUUUGAUAAAAGUCACAACUUUUCAUAAAAGUCGCAACUUUUGAUAAAAGUCACAACUUUUCAUAAAAGUCGCAACUUUUGAUAAAAGUCACAACUUUUCAUAAAAGUCGCAACUUUUGAUAAAAGUCACAACUUUUCAUAAAAGUCGCAACUUUUGAUAAAAGUCACAACUUUUCAUAAAAGUCGCAACUUUUGAUAAAAGUCACAACUUUUCAUAAAAGUCGCAACUUUUGAUAAAAGUCACAACUUUUCAUAAAAGUCGCAACUUUUGAUAAAAGUCACAACUUUUCAUAAAAGUCGCAACUUUUGAUAAAAGUCACAACUUUUCAUAAAAGUCGCAACUUUUGAUAAAAGUCACAACUUUUCAUAAAAGUCGCAACUUUUGAUAAAAGUCACAACUUUUCAUAAAAGUCGCAACUUUUGAUAAAAGUCACAACUUUUCAUAAAAGUCGCAACUUUUGAUAAAAGUCACAACUCUUCAUAAUAGUCGCAACUUUUCAUCAAAGUCACAACUCUUCAUAAAAGUCGCAACUCUUCAUUUUCCAUUCACACCUUUUAAAACCCAACAAAAAGUUAAAAGAUUCACUAACCACGACAAAUAAUACAAAACUAACAUAUGAUCAAAGAUGAGCUAAUCAUUCAACUCCAUAACCAAAGAAAGGAUGAGAAUAAAAUGUUACUGACCUAUUUUGGAGCAGUGAACUUGGGGCGUUUUCGGUCGAAGAUCUACUCUCGAAUACGAAGACGAGGUUAAGCCCGUUCAAAUCCAAAAUUGCGAAGAACAAGACUUUAAAACUAGGUGUGAUAGCUUCAAAGCUUUUAGGGAAAACGAGUAGCUGAAAAAAAUUCUUGAAAUUAAUUCCAAAUACCAGUAUUUAUAGGUAAAAAAUAGGUUCUUGAGCGGGAAUUCCAAUUUUGAAAUUAAUCAAAAAUAAAACCUUUAGAUCCCAAUGUUUGAAAGCCCUUUGGAUAAGAUAUGCCGGAGCCACGUGAUUGAGGGGACAUUGGCGUGAAGAUGGAGUACCUACCCUCUGCUUAUGUUGACAAACUAUGCUACUUUUCCAGAAAAAUGAAAGAGGAGACAUGAUGUGCGGCUGCUAAGGGAAAAGACAUGACAUUGAAACCUAAAGAGACUUGGAUAAAUUUUUUAAAAUAAGGAUAGUUAGGCUGCUGCGUUUUUUGGCUUCCAAAUGGGGUCUUUUUUGGAUAAAUUUAGUAGUCCUAAAGGCUGAAUACUUUUUGGGUCUCAAAUUGAAUCAAAUUUUGUGGUCCAAUUAGCUGAAAUAGUUUUCGGGUCGUUCAUUUUUUAAAUCAAUUCUUUCGAGCUUCUAAUUUAAUAACUAACAUAAUAUAUAAGUGGUAUGUAAAAAAAAUAAAAUACUAAUAUUAUAUUUUAGGUAAUGAUUUAGAAAAAUAUUUACUAACUUAUAAGUAAUUAAUUAAGUAGGAACUUUGAAAUGUGAUGACAAUAACAAAAGUUUAAAAAGUAAUUUUAUACUAAUUCUAAAAGGAAUGACAAUCAUAAAACAAAUAAUAUUAAUAAUAAAAUAGUAAUAGUAAGUUGCAAAUAUUAUAGGAAUUAAUGGUAAAAAUAUUUAUUAAAUUAGAAGCUCGAAAAAUGUAAUUGGAAGAAAGGAGGGUCAAAAUUGGGUGUCAACAGAUAUGGUAAGAUGGAAGCUUUCCCUACGCUAGACCGAGUUUCAAUGAACAUCUUUCUUAUCCCAUAACUAUGUGCCCGCAUAGGAUAUUAGCUAGUGGAUCCACCUAAACUUAAAUGUUACUGGUUCUACCCUAGGCAAGUAGACCACCUCUUUAUGGUGUGGGGAUAUGACACCGUAUUCCAUGGUUUGCUCUCAUGGUCUAUGUUGGUUAAUGCUUAUUCCCAUCAUGUGAGAUACGUGCUAUAGCUACUUGAGAGGUUCUAUGAAGUGUGGGUGGUAGUAUGGGAUGCCAUUCAAGCAUUGCACGAGUAGGCUUUGAGAGGGCUAUGGUGUGAUUCUCCAAUGUUUUAAUGUCUAAUGAAAGAAAGUGCUCUUAAUGAAGCUAAUGAAGAAUGUUGACAUAUAUGCUUAAUGUGAUGAUGCAUGUUUUACUUGGAUUGUAUGAUGAGUUACCUUCCUUGUCAUGACUUAUGAAAUGUAUGUGUUCCUUAUGCAUGAGUAUUGAUUGAAGAUGACUAAUGAAGAAUGGUAAGUUCAUCUAAAGUGACCUCAAAGUGGUACUUGGUGGGAAUAGUAGUAUGGGAUGUUAUUCUCACAUUGCACAAGUAUAGCUUAGGGUUGCUUGAGGUGAAUGUUCUAAUGUGAAGAAAUGACUUAUAUGAUAAUUAUGCUUGUAUAUUAUGUCUCUUAUACUUAUGUUCAUCACAUUUCUCAAAAUAGGCAUUUAGCAUGAUUUACAAAUAAAAUGUCCUUUUUAAGCAUGGCUUUUGCAUGGCUAUCAUACUUAGUACAUUUUUGUGUGCUAACCCAUAUUUCUCCUAUUUUUCUACAAAGUGUAGGUUCCGGAAAUUGAGUUGAUUUCUCCUGAGUUCAAGCUUGAGUUGACUAUUCAUCAAGUUUGUGGUAUGUCCUCAUGGAUCCGAGGACGAGUGCUUUAUUGUUAUUUCAUUUCUUCAUUGUACUAGACAUUUAUUAGACUUUCUAUUGUAAAGGCUGUGACCCUAGUUUUGACUCAAGAUGUUUUUAGAUGGCCACCGUUGUUUUAAAUGAUAAUUCGAUUGUAUGGAUUUAAAGAAAAGUUUUAAAUUCCGCACUAUUUCAUAUGUCUUAUGUUAUGAAUGCAAUGAGGCUUGUAUGAUGCUCUUCGAAGUCUUGUACGCCAUGUCACGUCCGGGGCUUAGGCUCAGAACGUUACAAAUUAUUAGUUGUCACGACAACACGACUACCCUUGUACACUGAUGGAUCCUGCAACUUUUGUUUAUCACAUGUCAUAUGAUUUGCACAACCCGAAUCAAAGAUACAAUCGUUCUCAUGAUCAAUUGAUUUAGAUAUAGUCUAUGCAAGUGCUAAAUCCUCUUCUUCUAUAGCGAAAAAUGCUUCAGCAUCCCAAACAUCUUCACUUUUCUCGUUGGAAUUUGAGGUAGUUGUGUUACUUUUGACGGACUGUUUCUUGGACCAAUGAUCCUUUUCCAUAUGACCCUUCUUCCCACAAUUGUAACACUUUCCUUCGAAUCGUUUGUCAUUCCUGAGAUUCUUCGAAACUCCUCUUGGGCGAAAAUUUCCAUCUUCAUGAGAAUUUUUCUUCUUAUGUCCACCACUAGAAUGAUGCUUGAUGUUCUUGCUUUUGUUGGUGUAGAGUUCUUCUUCCUCAUUCUUCACUGAGAGUUCUGCCAUUUGCUUCGCUAUUGCUUCUUUGCCAGCAAGCAGAUUUUCAAAUUCAACAAGAGAUGGCUGAUUUGGCCAUCCAUGUACAACAACAACGAAACCUCUGUAUUCAAGUCUCAAACCAUGGAUAAUAAUUAUUUUUACCCUGGUUUCCCCAAUUAGUGCCGUUGAAUCCAAAUCUGAAAUUUCACGGCAUGUACUCUUGACUUUAUGGAAGUACUGGGCAAUUGUCAUAUCACGUUGCUCCGUUGAUAAUAAUUCGUUCUCCAAAAGUUGCAUCCUUGUAUUAUUCUUCUUUGAGAAAAGUGCAGCAAGUGUAUCCCAUGCUUCUUUUGGCAUUUUAGCAUCACAAAUAUGCUCCAACACAUCUUCAUCAAUUGUUGUUUUGAGCGCAAACAUUGCUUUUCCUGCUUUGAUCUUCCACUUCCGCAAUGUUCCAUUUGCAUACUCUGCCUUUGGUUGUUCAACUUCGCUUCCGUUGAAAACUUCCCAGAGAUCUUGACCUUGCAUAUAAGACAUUAUACAUGUUUCCCAUGUAUUAUAAUUCUGGUUAUUGAGCUUUUUUAUUCCACCAACUACUUGAAGGUCAUUCGUUGUGCUGGCUCUGAUACCAAAUGUUGAACUUAACACGAUGGAAAGCUCAGUUAUCAGCACAGAAAUAACAGGGAAAGAAAGGAAGAAACAAAAAUUGAAAACAAUUUGCAGGGAAAAGUUGCUUACUUUAUUCAAUACGCUGAGAAGGUAAUAUAGGCUUACAGAAUUUUAGGAAUCCUAACCCCACUAAAUAACUACUUAAUUUCAGUAAACCAAUUUCCCUAAACUCUAGGAAAAGAAAUCUGCAAUACUACAAACUAGGAAAAGCAUUAUGUUAUAAUAAAAUAACAAAGUAACAACUAACUAGAAUAUAGCUACUGCCAAUACUUAAUCAGACUAGAAAAAAUAGGCUGAUGUUGAACGAUUUUAACAUUGUACUCUUCUUUUAGUUUAGUCCAGGUUAUGUUGUUUCAGUCUAAAGUCAUACUAUAUAUCAAAAGAAAACAUCAAGGGGGAACUUCAAAAGACUGAAGGCAACCAAGAUAUGUUAUAUGAGGACCACUCAUUGGAUCUUAGAAACCUCAGAAACGAGAAGGUACCCCAUGUUUAAUUUUCUUCAAAAAUUUUAUUUUUUCAAGUUAGUUCUACCCUAUAUAUGUGAGUUUUAUCAAGUAUAUAUAGUUGGUCGGGGAAGCUUAAUAGCACAAUUGGUAGGCUAUGUGAACUUUAACAUUAUUGAUGAGCGUUCGAUUCCCCCACUUUGUAAUCACCUUCCCUGUUUCCCCUUCCCGUACCCCAAGUUUAAAAAGUAAAAAAUAAGUAUAGUUGGUCUCCUGCCCGAAUAAAUGAUGACGAUUUUGUGAAAUGACGUCUGUAUAAAAGGGAUUAACGGGAUAGAGGAUCCUCCUGCCUGGGCCUCUUUGUGCUCCAAAGAAUCCCGUUGGUGCACCAUUAAUCAAUACAAAGAAUUUCACUCAUGAUAUACAUAAUUUUAUCCACAGGAUCCAUGCUACUAUACUAAACCGGCUGAAAGAGCGUAGUUUUGACCUAAAUUCCUUACAUGACAGGCUCCUCUCCUUCGCGGGAUAGGGCACAUUCCAUUCCGCCAUAAUCACACUUUAAAACUCGAUCCAGCUCUCAAACUAUAUGAUCCUCGUCACCAGUCAGCUAAUACUGAUAGUUGUCCUCCUACGGACCUUUGCCUUCCCUCCGUUUCCACAAUAAGAAGAAAAAACUUAAUUUUUCCUGAAUAUGAAUUACGACAAGGAAAAUAAAAUAAGCCCAACUAAUACCAUCUUCGCCAAAACUCCAAGCUACAUCUCCCCUUAUUUCUUGUUUUGCUUUAUUAAAUUAAAUUAACCUAGAGGGGUGAAUGGGGGUUUCAGGUGUUUUUGCACAAAAGUCCUUUAUGUUGAUGAUUCGUUGCUGAUGACUGAUUUUUUUCCCUCCCAUAUUCUUUGUUGCCAUAAUUUAUAAUUGGAUACACCUUUAAAUUAUGUUACGUCGUCGAAGGCUUGACCUGGGGAGAAAAUACAUUAAAUCUUUUUUUAUAUAAAAUCCAUUCUCUGUAAUAAUAUAUUAAUAGUCAAUUUUUUGGUCACUAAUUUUUUUAUGUUAUAUUAUAUUUUAUAUUCCCAAUAAUAACAAUUUUCUAUUUUAAUAAAAAUAUAAAUCAAACCACGUAUGAAGAAAUUUAACUGUAUAUGAAGCAAAUUAUUAUUCAACAUAAGAGAAAAUAGGAGACUUUUUGGAUAAUUGAAUCAAUGACAUGAAGCUAAGUAACAUCAAGGGAAUUUUUCCAACUAAUUAAAAUUUUGUAGGACAAAGGGAACAUAAUGAUUAAUGCACUAAUAAUAGCAAAAUAGACAUGUAGUUUUGUUUUAAGGAAGCUCUUAUAUUGUACUGCCGACACUGUAAGAAACAUACAUUUAUUUUUUGAGUUUCAUUUUAUUGUCAUAUAAAUUGAUCGAACAUAAAAUUAUUAUUUUUAAAAAAAAAAUGAUAAAAUUAUGAUUUUAAAUAUAUAUAUCAAUAUUUAUAUUGCUUCAAACUUAUGACAUUAAGGAUAAUUGAGUUAGGCCUGCAUAAAAAACCAAGUUUAUAAUGUCCCAAGUUCGUUUUAAAAAAAAAAGAAAAAUGUCUUUUUUUCCUUUAAAAAGGGGUAUCAAGUAUUAAUAGGGACUUUUUAUUACUUCAUAAAUAGAAUACAUAAUCUUACUCAACUACACAAAUAAUUAAAAAUAAAAUUAAGUAUGUCGCUUACUACCGCGACUUCGUUUUUUUAAGAAAAAAAUUGAAAGAUAAGAAUAUUUUUUUUUGAUGGAAAAAAAUAAUAAAAUCAGCCAAACACUAUUAACGGUGUUAAAAUUGAGAAAGGAUAUCGCUGCCCUAGCAUCGAAUUGUCCGAUUUGGUAUUAAAAAAAUUUCAAUGGCCCUUUAUGCAUUUUGAAAGAAAAAAGUGGUCCUUUUGGCUCCGAACUCAAAUUUUUCGCAUACAUAUAUACUGCAAAUAAGGAAAAUAAAAUAGAAAACUAAAUUGGUAUCAAUCUAUAUAUCAAAAGGUUUUAGAUUCGAGUCUCCUUGAAUACGGAGGGAGAGUUUUACUUUUUGACGCAAAUUUAGAUUUAGUCGGGCUCCAAUGUGGAUACGGAACCAAAAAAAAUAUUUAGUUAAAAAAUAGAUGAAAUCCAUUAAAUAACAAUAGAAAUAUUUGAUAAUUUAAUUCUACAAAUUAAAGUAACUAAAAUAAAUGUAGCACUAGAAUAAUUUCUUAUUCUCAUAUGUAUGCGAGAAUAUGUAUGCGUGUGGAUAUUCAAGAUCAGGUGUAUCAAAGUAAUCCAAUUCUUCAUCAAUCAAGACUUUAAACGGUUCAUCCAAUGAUGGUAGUUGCCAAAUUUUUGCAGCAUACAACCAUCCAUCAUGAUCUCUCGACGAAUUUGAGACACAAUCAGGAACUAUAUUCUAGAUUGUUAUAGGAAUAUCUUAAUGAUUUUUACAUAAACUGACUUUUUUUGUAAUGAAACACACAAUAGAGUCUUCAUGUCUGAUUUCUCUGCGUUCUCUUAAUACAUCCAUUGUAGUUUUAUCAAGACAGUAUUCUUUCACAAUCCAGUAUACACUUUCUUUUAUCUUCACAGCUACUUUCUUCAUCAGAACGAAAAGUUUUCUUAUACCCAAUUCAUGAUCUUUCCUUGUCCAAAAUUUCUUUAUUAUUGUCUCGUCCUUUCCAUUUGUGACCUCCAACAAUUGAUUUGUUGAAGUUUUUACCCUUGAUGAUUUUUCUCUUCAAUUGAGUAAAGAAAUAGUUUAUAUGAUCAUUACCUAAAUUUUGGAAUAAUUCUGCUGGCUCUUUUUUACCGUAUAAGUCUAUAUACGGAAUAUUAUUGUAUUCAAUAGGCAUUCCACGAAUGAAUUCGUUAAACACCUUAUCAGAUCUUCAUCCCCAUAAGUUAUAAAUAAUGUGAAUUAUAUUCCAACUAAAAAGAUACAAAAAGAGAGAAGAAGAUGGAGAAAUAUUUUAAAGCAAGAAAAUAUAUAUAGAGUAUAUUUCCUAAUUUGUGUAGGAAACUAAUUGUAGUUGUAAAUAUAAAUUUGAAAAAGUGAACCUUAUUAAUUGGAGUUGUAAUUUAUUUUGGAAAACUUAACCCUUGUUCGAAUAGGAAACUAAUUGGAGUUAUAAUUUUAUUUUUGGAAAACUCAACCUUAUUCGAAUAGGAAACAUUAAAUUUCUUGACCGAUGAUUGUGGGGUUGUGAAAGAUGACGAUUUGUGGGAAACAGAGAAGCAGCAUCAUCAAUGUAUUGAGCAUGUGUGAGAAAUAGAGCAGGAUCCGAAUGAGCAACAAAACCAGAAUUGAUAACAACAAACAGAGAAACAAAAGUAAAAUUUUGCUUCUUUAUAGGUUGCUAAACAAACACAUAUCAUAUAUUAUAUAUAUAGAGAGAGGAGAUAAAUGGUUGAGGGCUAAGCGCAUCCAAUAACGGUAAUAUAAAUUGACACGCUUAACAGAAUGUUUCCUUAACUAAUAAAUUGACACGGUUACCAUAAUAUUUCGUUAAAUAAUAAAUUGACACGGUUACCAUAUUAUAUUGUAUAUAGGGUAGAUUAUAUGGAAAUUGUGAAUUCCCUGAACAACGUACAAAAGGUUAGUUCGGUGAUUCAAGAUAUUUGAAAUCCACCCUAACGUCCAAGGGUUUGAUUCUACUGGAUUACAUUAUUAUGUUUUAUGUUUUUAUUUUUCAAACACCCUGAGUGAAAAUCUUGAAUCCGUCAUUGUUUUUUGGGUUUAAAAACUCAAUAAUUCUCGUGCAUUCAAAUGAUUAUAGUCCCUAUAUUAAGUACAAUCUUUUGUGUUGUGGUAGAGAUGAGUAUUCAUUUUCUGAGGUUUUAUUUACCCCUUCUUUUUUUGAUUAUUUUUCCACUAUAACAGAUAUUUGCAGUAAUUCUACCAUGCACGAUAUUUCUCAUUUACUAUCACUACAGGAGGGAUGUAUAUGAUUUGCAUCAUGCCAUAUUGGGUGAGUUUUAUUUGAAGUUUAUUUAGGAAAAAACUAUUUUUUCAAUUUUUGGAUUUUCAUUGUAGUUAAUACUAUGAAAUUGAUGGCAUUUUGCUUGUAAAUCUAGGCAUCCUGUAUUCUGUUCUAGUGACUGCAGUAAUCACCGAUAGCAUCAAAGAUGCUGUUGGUCGUCCACUCCCAAAUUUUUUCUAUAGGUGUGUCUCCAUCUUACACUUUCACAUAACAUUAUGGCUUGAACUUAGGAUAUUCUUUCAUGUAGUCCAAAAUAUGAUCCAACUCAAAAGGCCUGUGAUUCAACCUAUAAGUGGAUACUAUGUGAUAGAGGUCUGUGCUAGGCGCAAAAAUUCAACUUUUACUGUUUAUGGCAAUGGGGGUAAUUAGAAAAGACACGGCCUAAGAGUUCGAGAGUUCAUGAGAUUGUAUUGGCUUGCUUUCAUCAUAGUUAUUUUAUUUUCUCUUUGUGUUGUCUCAGAACAUAUAAAAAGUGUUCAUUUUUCUUCUUUUAUACCGUGUGUGUGUUAUUUUGAGUAUGCCAUAACAUAACAUUUAACUCGAAAAGUUUGACAUCAACUCUUAAACAAAUUUUGCAUUAAGAUACCUUUUUCAAUUCAUAUGCAGGCCUUUCAACCUAAUGGGGAUGCUAAUUGUCAUGGAGACCCUAAAGUUGUGAAAGAAGGAUAUAAAAUCUUUCCCAGUGGACAUACCUCAUGUUAGUAGUGUUCAUUUAUUCUUAGUUUCUUUGUUUUUGUUUGUUUUCUUCUUGUUUAUAAGUUUACGCUUGUCAAAAUAUAGGGUCAUUGGCUAGCCUUGCUUUCCUCUCAUGGUACUUGUGUGGAAAAGUGAAGGCUCACUACAAGAAAGAAGACAUUUCCCUACAACUUUUUUUGUUGCCAUAUAUUGGAUAUUGUUGCUAAAAGUACUUUCGGCAACAAUAAAAAAGUUGUUGCAUGUUGUUGCAAUAAACGCUGAUGUUAAAAAAUUUUGCAACAACAAAAUAUAUUGUUGCCAAAAACUAACUUAACGCAACCAAAAAAAUUGUUGCUUUAUACGGCUUAUAAAAAAAUUCGCAACAAAAUCUAAUGUUGCCAUAAAUUAUUAUUUUUUACCAACAAUAUUAGUUGUUGCAAAAACUUGGCAAAACUUAGUUAGCAAUCU
rnacentral:lncRNA from 1 species